GCAUAUGUCAAUGUUCCAUGCGCGUCGGUUUGUCAUUUAUCAAAACCUACAAAGAUGAACACACUUUUAGUUUUAGCGACUUGAGAACGUGUUUCAAUAUUUUUGUGGUCGUUGAUCUUAUGAUCAACGUCCGAGAUUAAAGGGUUUUAGGGCUGGGUCGGGUCUCAAAGUUUGGGCUAUGUAAUUUUGAAUUAAAAAUGGGUUGGUAUUGGAUUGAAUUAGGGCUAAAUUUGAAAUAAAAAUAGGCUAGGUGUCAAAUAGCCACUUUAAUAAAUACAUAAUUUAUAAAAAUGAUAAAUGGAUUCCAAAAAAUAUUUUCGUAUACUAAAAUGAUUUAAAUAGUUAUUUAACAUUUUAAAAUUUUAAAACACCAUUUUAUAUAUCAAUAAUGUAAUUAUACGUUAAUAUGGACUAUUAUUGCAAAGAUGUACAAUUUAGCCUAAAAAUGCACUAAAAAUAUUUAAACAAUUAUGAUGGCAUAAAUAAUGAAUUUAAAUGACCAAAUCAUCACAAAAAUAAUUUGAAGAAUAAUUAUUGGAUAUUUUAUAAAUAAAAGAGAAGAAAUAAAUUGAUUUAGAGCUUUUAAAAUUAUAAAAAUACUUAUGCAUGCGUAUAAAUUACGCUAUUUUGAAAGUGUAUAUAUAUAUAUAUAUAUAUAUAUAUAUAUAUAUGUAUGUAUGUAUAUAUGUAUUGAAAAUAUAUGAGAAAAAAAUUGGGUAUCAACAAAUCCGCGCGGCAUUAAAUUCCCUGAGAAUCGGGAACUCACCACACAGAGAUCUACCUCUUUGCACCAGAGUUAUGAAAAGCAAAAUAAGGAAAGAAAUAUAGGAGUCGUACAACAAUGAAAAAUUCCUCUUUAUAUGAAGCUACUGUGCAAACAGCCGCAGAUUACAUGCGGCUAAAACCAAGAUAAUCCAGGAAGCAACAAUAAACAACCAAUAAUAUAAAAAAGAAAUAAGAGAAACAACAAAGACAUCAAUUCUUUCACUCAACGCCAUCAUCGCCGCCCUCUUCACCACCAUCUCUGGGAAGUCCUCUUCAUCAUUACCACCCUCAUCGGCCUCUGGCGUCGCAGGGUCAUAUCCACAGUUAACACGAGCCUUUUAUGCCUUCGCCCGUGCUCCUUCAUAUGCGGCGUCAGAAACAUUGCUUGCCUCCCACAAGCUCUUAUAUAUAUCUCGUUGGGCCUCAGCAUGAACCCAAAGAUCGUGCAAAUAACGAGUAACAAUGGCGGAAGAAGAUUUGACUUGAGCCAAAAGUGGCUCUUUUUGGGCUUCAAAAGUAGUGACCCGGUUCCCUAAGGUCGACGCGUCCUGGUAGAUCUCACUAAUAUGCUCCUCGAGCCUUGCUUUCCGUGGAGUGGUCAUCUCCCUCCCCGAUUCCUGCUCGGAUUGAAGGACACGGAUAGUGUUCUCUAAAGCCUCCGCCCUUGCUAAUGCCGAAGACCAGGCACUUUAGAUGUUUUCAAACCCGGCAACCUUUCUCUCCAACUCAGUCAACUUUCACAUCCACUCCGCACUCAUCACCUUGACCCCAAUGACAUUCUGAUCCAUCUCAGAUUGCAUCAACCUAAACUUCCCCGGAAGAUAAUCUUACUCUGCGGCAACCCUUUUGCCCAACUCAAGCUCUUCGUUCUUUGCACGAAAUUGCUCUUUGAGUACGCUAUUUCUGUGAAUAGCCUGCACUAACUCUUAUUCCCUCUUCUCCAGUUCCUCGUCGAGGGAUCGAUCACCAAGCGUUGCCUUCAGCCGCUCAUGCAUCUCAUAAUAUUUAUUGCAAUAGCGCCGAUAUUUCUCCAAUAUUCUCAGAAAAAUCUUGGCCCAAGUGUCAGCCCUACGAGCGCUUUCAAUAUCCACCAUGCACGUCUGAAAAACAAGAAGACAGGCUAAGGCCAGAUCGUCAAGAAAAAUGAAAGGAACAUAAAAGAAAAGUGAAACGUACCCUCAAGCCCAUGGAGGCCACUUCAUGCAUCAACUUAAUAUCAAGAACAUUUUGAAGAGCCUUGCUCUCGACCGCAAAACACAAGAGGUCAAACUGCAGCACCAGGUCCUCUGUAUCUCCCAAAAGGUUAAUAUCCGAUGUGAUCUCAAGAAUACGGGAUAGACCUUCUGUAUGAACCACCGGACGGGUAAGACCCUCUUCAAAUACCCUAACAUCAUCAGGGUCAAGAUCAGACUCAAAUUCAUAGUCAUCGACCACGACACCUUUUCCCUUUUUUUGCACCCGAGGAAGAAGCACGACCCGACGUCAAAGCUAAAGGCCCAUCAAAAGCAGUAACAACGGCCUCAAGGGUAUGACCCCCGUCAUGGCAGGUUGGUGGUCAAUCAUAGUGGCCAGGAUCUCCGUCGUUGGGGCAGACAUAAUGGCUGGCUCUGUAUCUACAAGAGGAACGACACCAACUCCCGCCUCAGACCCAAUCAUGGGGAGGUCAUCUUCUGGAUGUGCCACAGUCGAAGGAGCUAUUUUGGACUCCACUCACCGCCUCUUUGAUGGCCCCACCCCGUCUUCAGCACGAGAACAUUCCCCUAUUGGGUGGGUGAUGACUGGUGCCAACCCUGCACCACUAUAAAGUAACAGGAGCGGUCGAAGAAGCUUUUACCCAAGAUGGUCGCGAUCUAAUCCACAGGAGCUAGAAGUGGGAAUCGGAUUCCUAUCUAAACUAGUGAUGCGUAGUGCUCUUAAUUACUCUUCCAAUCAUCUUUUGGUUGGUUAUUACUUCUAAUAUUUAUGCUUAUGAUAAGCUAAAUUAAACAAAGAAUGAUUGCUUGUAAAGUUUUCUAAAUGGUUAAAGAGGCACUAGGGAAGUGACUUUCUCCUAGGUGAAUACUUGACGGAUUCUCGAAUCUAAGGCAAGUUGUCAUGUUGGAGAUUACGAUAUAACCGAUUCACGAAACUUCUCACUCUAUGCCUCUCGGUAGUUUGAGUAUUAACUUUCUCAAGACCAGUUGGGUGUAAUAAUUGUGCAAGCAAUUUAGGUUCAAGUCGAGUAUUACUAUCUCUAGGUUUAACCCUUUAAUUGGGGCUAUCAAUCUCUUAAAUACGCCCCAAUUCCCUGUUAGGCUAAUUUUCCUAGACUCAAGCUCUCUUUCUCAAGAAAAGCCCAAGUCAAAAAGGCACAAAUUAGUGUUUGCAACCACUAAUUCAACAUGGAAAAGAUAAAUUAGUCCAAAUAUCAAACAUCCAUAAACAUUCAAGCCUUAAAACUCAAGACUCAUUAAAUACCAACACUAGGGUUGAGCCACAACCCUAGCUAAUGGGUCUAGCCACUUAUAAUAAUGGAAUAAAACUGAUAAAUAGAUGAAGAAUAACCCAUAUGAUUUAAUUAUAAACUAAAAUAAAGAAGAUUCAGUGUUAAUCUAGCUACAAAUUACUCAAAACAGCCUAGUACAGCCGUUCACGUGCUCUGGUCUCGAACAGAUUACCAAAGAUGACCUAAAAAUGUGAAAAGAAAGUAUUUAUACUAGGCCAAAUUUUCUAGACAAAAAUACCCCUUACAAGGUAUUGCGGUCCGCACAAAAUACACCGGGGACCGCAAUGCGGCUUUUUAGCUCGAUAAUGCAUUCUCUGAAUAUAGCCACCAUGGUCCGCAUAAAGCGCACCGCGAUCGCGGUGGCUUUAACUGUGGUCCGCAUAAAAAGGACCGCGAACUGCAUUGGCCUUUAUCUCUAAAUUCCUAGCUCUCUCAACUCCCAUCUUUGCGGACUGCACAAAAUGGGUCCAAAAGUGCCUUAGGCUCCAAAAGUGCACCUCUCUGAAUCACCUCACUGCUGAUCGCACUAAAUGGCUUGCAGCGGCGGUGGGCCUAUUACAGCUGUGCUUUGACUUGUACAUGGUACUUGUGCAUGUUUCACUCCUUUUUGAGCUGGUUUUGACUAAUUGUCACUUUUAGACAAAACUUUGCGAACAAGUACAAUAUGUAAGCCUUUGAGAUUAUUUUAUAUAUAUUUUUAAUCGAAACUCAAGUUAGAAAAUAGAAUAAAAUGAACUAGAAUCCCUAGUUAUCAGGUGAUAGGGGUCGGAAUCUCAAUUCUGGGAGUAGCCUCCGUAUGCACGGCCACGAGCGUAGACUUAACUGAAGCGACCCUCGACGAAGAUCUGGUAAUAGACCCUGAGGCAGGGCAAAUGGACAAUGAUGUAGGCUGAAGAAAUUCUAGUGGGGGAGCCCUCGCUCUCUGCACUCUCCCUGACAUCGAUGAACAUCACAUGAGCAACAAAGUUAAAACAAACUAUCAUAGAAGGACGACCAUGUGCGGACCCCUAUCGUAUGAGAAAGGACAACGUUCAUCCACUCGCGAAUACUGUCAAAGGGUACUGGGGUAGUUUCGCGGCUGUAAAAACAAAAAGCAGUUUUAAGUACUGCCCAAAGGAAAGCGGUCGAGCAUCAUUCCGACCAAAAGUAUAGAAACUUAUCUGCAAAAUUCCACUUCUCGGGGAACCCUGUAGGAUCCGCCAAAAGGUGCUCGAUCCGCACAUAGAAGUAAUUCUCGCAGAAACGACGGUUGACUCUGUCAUCCAUCUUUACCACCAGACUCUUCGUCCCUCGCUGGAGCAUAUGAAUCAUUGUGCCACGAAUGAGUUGUGGAGCAAAGAUAUUGAGUAUGUGCCUCAAAGUGAUCUCCCGACCAGCAAGCUCCGCAAACUUGAGCAGCAUGAUGAACAAUUUGUACGGGUACGACAAAAGUUGAGCCAGACAUACCACGUAGAAGUGGCAAAAAUCUACCACCAAGAGAGGGAGAGGAAGCGCGUACCCAACAAUAAAGGAGUAGGCAUAGAAUGUGCACCAACGUGGGCAGUCAAAAUGGACUAAUUCAUCCCCCAACGCCAGCAGCAUUUCAACAUGGUGAGAGAUUCCCCACCUGGCCUUCAAUUCUGCGAUCCCCUCCGCAUUUAUAACUGAAUAAAAGGUUCCGGCUCCUCCCCGACAAGACUGUGGAAAUCAUUCCAUGGUUUCCCAGGGUGAGGCAAGAUCUCAGCCGCUGUAGGAACCCCCUCAUAUUCCACCAUUUCUACCCCUCUAGUGGCAAGAACAUCACUUUCCGGCAUCGGAAUUGCAGUAGGAUGAUCGGCACGAGAAGAAUUACCGGCCAUUUUUAUCUAUUUGUAAAGGGUUGGAAGAAAGAAAAGAAGACUAGGACGAAAAGUUCUUGGCUAACAGGAGAAUAUAAAAUAUCUGAAGUAUCAGGACAAAAGAAGACUCACAAUUUUCUUUCAAGUAAAGGCAAAGAAGUGUGUCAAUCAAAUGGUACGCUCCUUCUAUUUAUAAGAGAUAUAAAUUCUCCGAGCACGAAAUUCAAGAGUCGCCAAUCGAAGCUGAUAAGGCACAAAACAGUUCAAUCCCCUGGGAACGUGUGUCAUAAUGGCGAUAACCACGAAUGACAUUUGAAGUUAAACAAUGCUUCGGUUCCAAAACGGCCGCGACAGUCCAAGAGCAUCGUAAGAGCGUCGUUAUAUCAUUCGAAUCUAAAAUCAUACCUAGAGGGUCGGUAGUAAGAUUUCUCUUAGAUAUGUAAAAAUCAUAAUCCUCUAAUCACAGUACCCGAUAAGUCGAAUGAUACUACUCAGGUAACACCAAAAACGGAGGUGGUAUGAAGAAGCAUUAACUCAUGAACAUAUAGAAGAUUCUGUGACAAUAUACAUAAACUUCCUAGAAAAGGGUUUUUUUUCUCUUUAUCCUCUCCUCUAUAAUUUUCAUAACAAAAGGAAGAUAAAAUCUUCUUCCCUACAUUAUGUAAAGGGAUGAUCACCAACAAUUGGGGAAAAAGGAAGCAAUAAAGUAUCAGUGAGAUUGAUUACUCCCAUGUUAUGUUAUACAUUAUUUUUUGAUUUGUUUACAUAUUUGAAAUUUCUAUGCUUAAUUAAGAUUUACUUUUUCAUCUUUAUUAAUUAAUUUAACAAAAAAUAUUUUUAUAUUUUUUUGGUCAAAUAAUUAGUUGCCAAAUUUCGUGUAUAAUUCUGUCAGUUAUCACUUCAAAACACAAAAGACAAGUAAGAUUGAAGUGGGCGAAAUAAAGUCAAACGCAUCGGCGAUAGCCGCCCGAGUAUUGACGGCGUCAAAAGAUGUUCAGGGCAAACUAACAAAAGCGUAGGACAAAAGCUGGAAUGCCGUUAUGUCAAUUUUCCUUUCGAUUGUUUCUGUUGCGAAUAUGAGAGUUUUUUUUUAACGAUAUUCAAUGCAAUAAUAGUGGUAAUAGAGUACAGCAAAGUAUGGACUAGUAGGUGAAUAUAUAUAUAUAUAUAUAUAUAUAUAUAUAUAUAUAUAUUAGUUCAGGCUGUGCUCGUGCCCAAUAGCUAUAUCAAAUAUUUUAGACUUCUCUUUUAAAUUUCGUGUGUAAUCAAAUAUUAUCAUUAUAAAAUAAAGUAUUAUAUACUUAGAGUAGUGUCAGUAUCGGCUUCAUGAUAAAUAAAAGAAGGCUCUUUCUUUAUGCCGACAAUUUAAGAGACUCAUUUUUUAGGAAUAAUAAAUUUAUAGGUUUUUUUGAAAGAAAUAUUAGAUUUGCUGUCACACCUCCUUUUGGCACUACAACCCCGCAAAAGGGCAUAGAUAAGGGAGUUUUUUCAAUUUAAAUGACAUUAUUCGAAAUGAGAUUAUUUAUUUAUUUAUUGCUUAGAGUCGCCACUUGGGAUGGUUUACUUUCCGGUGAAGUCACCAGUUUAUUUUAAAAUCCCAAAUCAAGGAAAUUUCGACUUUUCUUUUGAAGUCUGCAAACCAGAAAUUAUUAAGUAAGGAAUUCUAUUAACCUGAGGGAAGGUGAUAGGCACCCUCGGAUUCCGUGGUUCUAGCACGGUCCCUUAAACUAUUAGAAAUGGAUUAAUAUCUGAUUUUAAUACAUGUCAUCCUAUAGUGCAUUUUAAUUAUUUAAUGCUUUUAUUUAAUUUUAAGGAAUAUCACAACGUUAUUAAAACACGUCAGAAAUCACGUCACAUAAAUGCACCUGUAAUUUUGACAUAUUUUAACAUCGUUGAAAUUCGGAUUUGGAUCACAUAAAUGUGCACCCGAGUUUAGGAAAAUAGAUUAUUAAAAUACGUGCCUAAAGCAACUACGUGUUGUUAACUUUGCGAGGGCCAUGAAAAUUUCACUAAAUGGCGCGCCUCGAAUUCGAAGGAUUUUAAAUUAAUUAAGUGAGGGCCAUGUGUUUUGAGAUUUUAUUUGACAUGGCACGCCUCAAAUUAUUUCAGAGGGUUUUAUUUUUUUCCGAAGUUGUUAUAAUUAGGUUACAUGAAAUGCACCCCGAAUUUUAAAAAUUAGGCAUCAUAAUUAUGUUACGGGAAUUAUACCCAUAAUUACAAUAAUUUAUCAAUUAUGCCUAAAGCAAAGCUACGAAUAUUUAUGAUUUUUCUUUCUAUGUACAAGAUCGUAUAAAUUGGGUUGGAAUCAGUGCUGGCAGCUUGAAAUUCAUCAACUACCGGCGCCCAAUUGAAUCGACUUUCCAUGAGAUCGAAGUCCACUAGCACACAAAUGAAACUCAAGCUUUGAAGUAUUACACCCAUAAAUUCUAUCUCAACCAUCUGACUUUAAUAGCCAGUGACGAAAAAACAAAGAAAAACUAUAUGCUCCUUAAUCAAAUAGCUACUUGAUCCUUGUAGAUAAUUGGAUAUAGGCAGUAAACAAACAAACCACAAAUUAGAGCUAGUUCCUAUUGAAAUCAUUUACAGAUGCAUCAUCGUUAAUUCAUUUUAAGCUAAUUUCACCAAGCCAUAACUAAAGUGACAUCAAACACCACCAAACAAAAAUCACGGCAGCUAUAAUUGAGACCAAGGAGAACAAAACUUUCGAUUUUCAUUUUUCCACAUACAACGAGUUCAAACUCUGAAGUUUCAUAACAUACCUAGGUAUAGGCAAAAUAAGCCGAAGGCGAGGAACAAGGGUCUGAAGUAGAAGCUGCGACGAAAAACAAACAAGACAACAACAAUCGAAGCCGGAACCGUGAACCUCGACUCCUGAAUCGCACUCGUCAACACUCCGGACAGCAGCGAUUUCGACAACCUCAGCUUAACUCCAUAGCUUAAACCUUUCUCGUUCUCCUCACUGUUUUGGAGUUCCUGCUCUAUUUAUCGAUUGGGUGUGUGUGUUGUGGUUGUUUUCUGGUGGAAAUGGCUAGAAGAAAUGGAAGAAAGGCAUGUACAAGGGUGGUCGUUUUUACGUGAGGGAUGGAUGAAACUGCUCGAUGAUGAGGGGAGUUCUUCUAUGGUUGCUGUUGUUACAACAGGAAACCAUGGAAAGUCAUGUCCUACGAUGUUUAGCGGCUGAAGACGAGGGAUGAAGAAGCUGAAGGCUGGGAUUCAGGGGUGUGUUUUGCCGGCGAGUCCAUCGCAACAGUGAGAGUAGGGAGAUGAGGUGAAGGUCGGGCUGGUUGUUGUCGUGAUGAAGAGGGUGGAUGAUGGAGCUCUUUGUGUCUUGAAGAUGGAGGAAGAAGAACAACGAGAAUGGGGGUCCUCCUCUGUGAAUUGCGGCGCUCCUCCUUGUGUAUUGAGUGUAUGUAUUAUUAUAUAGUGUAGGGAUUAGGUUAGGGGGUAUCGGCUUAUGGAUUAUGGAUUAGGAAAUAGACUUGAGUUAUAUGGGUUUGGGUAUAAAAAUUAUGGUUUGGGCUACUCUGGUUUUUAAAAUGGGUCAAUUGCAUAAAUUAAAAUCUCAUUGCAAUUAAAUACUUAUUCUUUUUUUUUUAACAAUCAUAGAAAGUAAAAAUUUUAAAUUAAUCGAUUUUUUUUGUAGAAAUUAAAACUCCUUAUUUUUUUUUACAUUAAAACAACUACUUAACUUAAACCUAAGAAAAAAUGUCAAUCUAAAUACUAAGAUAAAUAUGUAAAAAUGACCAAUUUUUUAAAGGAUUUUUCUAUGAUUUAAAAAUAUUAAAAACGCAUAAAAUACAAAAUAAAAAAAAAAUUCCUAAAAUUAAUAAAAAAAAAAUUUUGGUCUAUUUUUAGGAGUUAUUCUCAUUUAGGGCAGAAUUCACGUGCUUACGCUUACAAUUUUGCUUUACAAAAGCAUAUCCAUUACAAUCACGAUUAAAUUACUGGCGGUAGAACUUAUCACAAAGCGAAAACAACUUAAAUAUCUUAUGAAAAUUACAAAGAAUUCUAUUCAUAAACCAACCACUAUCACCUAAUGGAAAAGUGUGCAUUUUCUCACAUUCGUAAUAGUGCAUUUAUAUCAUAUAAGUAGAGUUUUAGGAGGAUAGGCUAAUAAUUCAAAAGUUCAAAAAUUUUAUCGGUAAAAUAUGAGAUUUUAGAUGACAAAAAUUUUAAAAGUUAUUGUCUUAACCUUCAACAUUUCUUAAAAUAUAGUAGUCACUUUGAUACUGUUAAUUUAGAUAUAUUCUAAAUUAAAAGUGUUAAAGAAAAUAGUACAAAAUGAAAAUAAUACUCUAAUCGAUAUAUUCAUUCAAAUAAAAGGACAUAAUUUUAUUUUAAAAACUUAUAUUUCUUAUAAAAUAAUGUUUACAGUUCAUGUAAUAAUCGCCUCUGCCGAAAUAAGUUUUUUAAAAUUAAAAUUAAUAAAAUCUUAUCUGAGAUCAUAAUUCUAAAAAAAAUUCAAAAAAUGGCUAUAUUAUCAUUCGAAAAAGAAUAUUAGAAGAUAUUGAUACUUUUAAAAAGUUAUUAAUAAUUUUGCAUCUCAAAAGUUAGAACGAUAGAUUUUUGGAAAAAAUUAUUUUUAUUUUUAAAUUUAAGGUCUCCAAAUAAAUUUUGACUUUAGAAUAUUAAAGUCCUUGAGCCCGCUCUUGCAUCAUGGCACAUUUACUCUAAUUUUACUAAUAUCAUCUUUUUUAGUUUUUUAAUUAUAAUUAAUAUAGUAACAUUUACUUUAUAACUUUUUGAAAGUGUAAUUUCAAAAUAAUAACAAUAGCUCAAUGUGGAUGAAGCUAAACUCAAGUGUAAUACUGAUUUCUUGUUGGACUUCGUAAGAAAAUAAUUGGAGAAAUAUGAUAAAUUUGAUUUCUCUUUUUAGUAUAUUAUUAAUUUCAAACCAUGUUUAAAUGUACGGAGCAAAAGUUUCAAAAUGCUGAAGACGAAGCGCUUGUAUUAGUACUUGUGCUUUUCUCAAUUAUUGCCUGUUUGAGCUGGGUGGUUAUUAAUUUUUGGAAACAUUAUUCUUUUUGUUAGAGCGCCAUACAUUAUAUUAGUUCACCCCUAAUACAUAAAAUUAAAUUCUAAUAUAAAGUACCAAAUAAGACAGUAAUAAUUUACUUUUAUUUAUAGAGAGUUGGUUAAGUGGGGCCGUUUAACAUGAUUCAUCAAAAGAUAAGUGGAGCCCACUUUUGAGUACGUAUGAAAUGAUAUUCAUGACUAGGCAAGUUAAAUUUUUUCUAUUUCCAAAAUAGCCUUACUACCCCAAGUUCCUCUCCUUAUUCCCUUCUAUAAUAUAUAUAUAUAUAUAUAUAUAUACAUAUAUAUUUAUAUAUAUAGUAAAAUCUCCUUAGUGGGGUCUGGGAAGGUAAUGUGUACGCAGACCUUACCGCUACCCCGAUAGGCAAAGAGGCUAUUUUCGGUAGACCAUUGGCUCAGAAAGACAGAAAUAAAAAGGACAAGAAAAGAUAAUUUAUUAGUAACUCCAGUAGAAAUCGUAAUAGUAACAGAAGCACAACAACCAGAAGAAAAAUGACCUGCAAUAACAAUAACCAGUAACUAAGGCCAGGGCUAAGAUAAACAACAAUUGAUCCAAUCCCGCCUCAUCCCCGGUAUGAAGUAAGAAAAGCUCAACUACCCCCUAACCUAUGACCCUAAUGCUUGAUCUCCAGACUUUCCUAUCAAGGAUCAUGUCUUCGGAAAUAUGCAGUCGAACCAUGUCCUACCUGAUCACCUCUCUUCAAUACUUCUUAGGCAUUCCCUCUACCUCUUCUCGUACCCACCACGGCCAACCGCUCACACCUCCUCAUCGGAGCAUCUAGGCUUUUCCUUCGCAUGUGCUCAAACCAUCUGAGCCUCACUUCCUGUAUUUUGUCAUCCACAAGGGCCACAUCCAUCUUCUUCUGAAUAUCGUUAUUUCUAAUCUUGUCUAUCCUGGUAUGCCUGUUGUCACGACCACAGUUCGCCCUCCGUGAACUGUCGUGACGGCACCUAGUCUCUACAACUAGGUAAGCCUAACAAGUGCAGAAAAUAAAUUGAAACUUGCAGAAAUAUAAAUCUAAAACCAAGAAUGAUUAAAAUGGAACGAUGUAUAAAAUGCCGCUCGGUAUACACAGCACAAUAUCUGAAAAGUUCUACAUCACUAUCCCAAAAUCCGGAAACUCACAGGAACACAAGCUAGAAGGAAUAUAAUAAAGUGCUCUAAUCUCCAGAAUGUCUAUAUCAACAGUACGAUAGAAGGGCUAAAACUACAAGAUAGAAUAAAGAUGGAGACUCUUCGGUCUACGGACGCAGAAAAUAUAACUCGAAGUCUCCAAAAGCUCUCCCUGCCUCAAGGAUGAUAAGCCUGUGCGGAAGUACCUGAAUCUGCACAUGAAAAACAUGCAUAGAAAGGGCAUGAGUACACCACAACGAUACUUAGUAAGUGCCAAGCCUAACCUCGGUCAGGUAGUGAAGAUGAAGGUCAUGGUCCUAUUGAGAUCAAAUAAAAUAUAAGAUUAAAUAGUGUAGAGUAAGCAAUAUAAUUAGUACAGUGAUGGAAUAAGAUAAGUUAUACAAGGUAACAACAAAUAUACAAUGAAAAGCGUAACCACGGAAAAUAAGAAUACCUCAGCACUAAUAGUAGCAACGAGGAUCUCCCAGGAUACCGUCCUGUAGUCUUUUUCAUCAACUAUCUAAUGGAUCUCCCUGAUAUCAUCUGUAGUCCAAUUAUCAAUGCACAAAGAUCUACCAAAAUCCCGAUCUGUAAUCCUAAAACUAAAUACCCAGUACUGGGGGAAUCUACCAGGUGCAUUUCCGUAGUUCCAUAUAACUAUGAAGUGGGAUCUACCGGGAAUAUAACCCGUUGUCCCAAAGUAAAUGUGCAAGGGGAUCUAUCAGGAAUCUAACUCGUAGUCGCAAAGUAAACAGACAAGGGGGAGCUACCAGAAUCCCACAUCCGUAGUUCCAAUGUAAAUACAUAGCAACAACAAGAAGAAUAUUCAGAAAUAGAAUUUCAUAGCAAGGCAACAAGUAGUUCUAGCCUAACAUGCUUCAGAUAAUGCAAACAAGGCAAUUUAAGCUAAUAGGAAAUUUAAGUCAACUAAAUAUACUCUUCUACUAACAACAGGUUAAUUUUGCAAAUACAAUAAAAGUAUAAAGGAAACAUGCUAAAGAAUACAUUAAGAAAAUUGGAUUUCAAUAAUUUGCACAAGUACACGCUCGUCACCUCACGCACAAGGCGGUUCAAUUACCAAAUAUGUCAAUCCUAAAGGGAAGGUCCCCCACACAAGGUUAGACAAAUAACUUACCUCGAACCGGCUUAAAAUCAACUCAAAAUCACGCUUUUGCCACGAGUAUCCGACUUCAAAUGGCCCACAUCUAUUCAAUUCAAUUGAAUAUUGUAAAUAAUACCUCAAGUAAAUGAUUCUACGAUUUAAUUCAAAGCUAAUACGCAAAAUUAGGUAAAAUAACCAAAAUGUCCCUCAGGCCCACAUCUCGGAAUGGGGUGAAAGUUACAUUUUCAGAAGUCUCAUACUCUUACGAAUCUACACAUAACAAGAACACUGAAAUCAGAGUCCAAUUGUCCCCUCAAAUCCUCAUUUAAAAGUCUCUUAAAAUCAGGCCCUAACUAUCCCCUUUUCCCAAAUUUCUCACCAUUAUUUAGGUCUUUAAUCAUAUGAAAAUGAGUUAUAAAGUCAAGAACGUUAUGUCCAAGUGAUUUCUGUAUGUUUUCCUCAAAAACCCCUCUCAAAAGCUUCAAACCCGGAUGAAAAUGGUGGAAGAAUAGCUAAAUUUCGCAAAGGCAACUAUUUAUAUGUUCUGCCCAGCGAUUACCGCAUUUGUAGCCAUGGGACCGCAUCUACGACUUUCAUUAAAUGGCCAAUUUUCUUCACCUGCGGUCUUCGAUUAGCAUAUGCGUUUUCGCUUUUGCGGAAGGUCUACUGCAUCUGCGGAAUCUACUGAAGAAACCAACAUCCGCUUCUACGGUCCCCUUAGCGCAUCUUCAGUGCCGCAUCUGCGGUCCCCAACCCGCAGAUGCAAAAUACUAGAAGCUGCAAUGCUAUAGCUGCUACAACACUUUUUCAACCUUCCCGUUAACCAUCCGAAAUCAUCCCGAGGCCCCCGGGACCUCAACCAAAAACACUAAUAUUACCUAAUACCUUAUUCAAACUUGUACUACCUUACAACAACUAAAGCAACAUUGAAAUCUCGGAUUAAUCAAGGAUUUAAGCAGAAGAACUCUAAAUUUCUUCAAAAUACACUUUUGAUCAAACACCCAACCAAAUCACGUCCAAAUGACCUGAGUUUUUACACACACGGCCCAAAUGACAUGAGGAAGCUAUCGCAACGCUCGGAAUUCCAUUCUGACCCUCAGAUCAAAAUCUAACUAUUGAACCGGAAACUUCAAAAAUUCAACAUUCAGCAUUUCAAGCCUAAAUUAGCUACGGCCCUUCAAAAUACUAUCUGAACACGCUCCUAACCCGAAAACCACCCAACGGAGCUAACAAAACCAUCGGAUUUCCAUUCCAAGACUGUCUUCACUCUGUUCCAACUAUGGUCAAUUUUCCAACACUUAAGCUCUCAUUUAGUGAUUAAGUGUCCCAAACUCUCCGAAACACAAAAUUGAACAUCCCAGUAAAUCAAAUUAGCAGAAUUUAACUUGGGGAAAGCAGUUAAUAGGGGAUUGUGGCAUUAAUUUUUAAGACGACAAGCCGGGUCGUCACAUUAUCCAACACUUAAAAAUUUGUUCGUCCUUGAACGAGCAUAGAGACAUACCUGAAGUAGUGAAAAGAUGAGGGUAGCGGCUAUGCAUGUCCUGCUCAGUCUUCCAGGUCGCCUCCUCGACCGAUUGACCCUGCCAUUGAACCUUUACUGAAGCUAUGUUCUUUGAUCUCAACUUUCUGACCAGCCUGUCCAAUAUAGCAAUUGGCUCCUCAACAUAAGAUAGAUCCUUGUCCAACUGGACUGAGCUGAAAUCUAACGUGUGGGACGGAUCACCGUGACACCUAUGAAGCAUCGAAACAUGAAAUACCGGGUGGACCCCUACUAGGCUGGGAGGUAAGGCAAGCUCAUAAGUAACCUCCCUAACUCGCUGCAAUAUCUCAAAAGGGUCAAUAACCUCGAACUCAACUUUCCUUACUUUCCAAAUCUUAUAAUACCUUUCAUAGCCAAAACCCGAAGCAAAACUCGCUCUCCAACCAUAUAGGAAACAUCACGAACCUUCCGGUCUAUGUAGCUUUUCUGUCUUGACUGGGUUAUACGGAUCCUAUCCUGAAUCACCUUAACCUUUGAUAAAGCAUCCUGAACAAAAUCUGUGCCCAAUAACCUAGCCUCACCCGGCUCAAACCAACCCACCGGAGAUCUACACCGUCUACCAUACAAAGCCUCAUACGGUUCCAUCUGAAUGCUGGACUAAUAACUAUUGUUGUAAAAAAACUCCACCAAUGGAAAGAACUGAUCCCAAGAACCCCCAAACUGCAUCACACACGCACAGAGCAUAUCCUCAAGAAUCUGAAUAGUGCGCUCGAACUAUCCGUCUGUCUAGGGGUGAAACGUUGUGCUCAACUCCACCCGAGUACCUAACUCCUACUGUACGACUCUCCGGAACCACGAUGUGAACUGAGUACACCUAUCCGAAAUGAUGGAAACUGGAAUACCAUGCAGACGAACGAUCUCCUAGAUACAAAUCUUCGCCAAUCGCUCCGAAGAAUAAAUAGUACACACAUGAAUGAAAUGAGCAGACUUGGUCAGCUGAUCCACAAAUAACCCAAAUGGCAUCGAACUUCUUCAAAGUCUGUAGGAGUCUAGAUACAAAGUCCAUGGUGAUACGCUCCCACUUCUACUCCGGAAUCUCUAUCUGCUAAAGAAAUCCACCCGGUGUCUGGUGCUCAUACUCCACCUGCUGGCAAUUGAGGCACCGAGCUACAAACCCAACUAUAUCUUUCUUCAUCCGCCUCCACCAAUAGUGUUUCCUCAAGUCCUCAUACAUCUUCGCAGUACCCAGAUGAAUGGAAUACCGCAAACUGUAGACUUGUUCUAGAAUCAACUCCGAAGCCCAUCAACAUUGGGUACACAAACCUGACUCUUUAUCCUCAAUACUCCACCCUUGCCAAUGGCCACAUAUCUGGCAUCACCAUGUUGAACCUUGUCCUUAAGGAAAAGCAAUAAGGAUCAUCAUACUUCUUCUCCCUGAUACGAUCAAAUAAUGAAGAUCGAGAAACCACGCAAGCUAGAACCCGGCUGGGCUCCGAAAGAUCUAAUCUCACAAAUUGGUUGGUUAAGGCUUGAACAUACAUCGCCAUAGGCCUCUCUGAUGCUGAUAAAUAUGCCAAACUCUUCGCCCAAUGACUCAAGGCAUCAACCACUACAUUGGCCUUGCCUGAGUGAUAUAAAAUAGUGAUGUCAUAAUCCUUCAAAACUAUAACCACCUCUUCUGGCGCAAAUUUAGAUCCUUUUUCUUGAAUAAAUGCUACAAGCUCCGAUGGUCAGUAUAAAUAUCACAAGGCACAUCAUAUAGGUAAUGGCACCAAAUAUUCAGGGUGUGAACAAUGGCAGCUAGCUCAAGAUCAUGGAUAAGAUAAUUCUUCUCAUAUAUCUUCAAAUGUUUGGACGGGUAGGCAAUCCCCCUACCAUCCUGCAUCAAUACCGCUCCAAGUCCAACUCUCGAGGCAUUACAAUAGACAAUAUAAGACCCUGAACCUGUAGACAAUAUCAAAAAUAGGGUCGUAGUCAAAGUACUGAAGCUUGCCUCGCAUUCUUCCAUCCACUGAAACGGAGCACCCAUCUAGGUUAGUCUAGUCAUAGGGGUUGCAAUCGAUGAAAAUCCCUCCAUGAAACGAUGGUAGUAACUCGCCAAACAAAGGAAGCUGCUGAUCUUUGUAGCUGAGGUUGGUCUGGGCCAACUCUGCACUGUCUAUACCUUUUUCGGAUCCACCCGAAUACCCUCACUCGAUGCCACGUGGCCCAAGAAUGCCACGGAAUCCAACCAAAACUCACAUUUUAAAAACUUUGCAUAUAAUUUCUUUUCCCUCAGAGUCCGAAGCACUGUCCUCAGAUGUUGCUUAUGAUCUUCCCAACUAUGGGAAUACAAUAUAAUGUCAUAAAUUAAGACAAUGACAAAAGAGUCAAUAUAUGGCCGGAAUAUACUGUGCAUCAAAUGUAUAUAGGUUGUUGGGGCAUUGGUAAGACAAAAUGACAUAACAAGAAACUCUUAAUGGCCGUACCAAGUCCUGAAAGCAGCCUUCGACAUAUCUGGCUCCCGAAUCUUCAAUUGAUGGUAAUCCGAGCGCAAAUCAAUCUUAGAAAACACACGUGCACCCUGAAGCUGGUCAAACGGAUCAACAAUAUGAGGCAAAUGAUAAAGGUUCUUCACUGUAACCUUGUUUAACUAGCAAUAAUCAAUACACAUACGUAUAGAACCAUCCUUUUUCUUCACAAACAAGAUAGGAGCACCCCAAAGUGAGAAACUAGGCCGAAUUAAACCCUUAUUAAGCAAUUCCUGCAACUGAUCCUUCAACUCCGAAGGAGCCAUACGAUACAGAGGAAUAGAAAUGGGCUGAGUGCCCGAAAAUAAAUUAAUGACAAAAUCAAUAUCUAUAUCAGGUGGCAUGCUCAGAAGGUCAGUUGGAAACACAUCGGAGAAAUCCCGCACUACAGGAACGGAAUCAACAGAAAGGGGUGUCAAUAUUGACAUCUCUCACAUAAGCUAAGUAUGCGUUACACCCUUUCUCAACCAUACGCUAAGCUUGGAGGAAAUAAAUAACUCUAUUGGGGGUAUGAUCUAAGGUGCCCCACCACUCAACAUGCGGUACACCUGGCAUAGUCAGUGUCAGGGUUUUGGCGUGACAAUCAAGAAUAGCAUAAUGGGGUGACAACCACUCCAUGCCCAAGAUAAUAUCAAAGUCAACCAUGUUGAGUAAUAACAGAUCGACUCUAGUCUCAAAAUCAUGGAGAGUAACCAAACACAACUGAUAAACAUGGUCCACAACAAGAAAAUCUCCCACAAGAGUAAAAACAUAAAUAGGGAAACUCAAAGAAACCCAAUGUACACCCAAAUGCGGAGCAAAAUAAGAAGACAUAUAAGAGUAAGUAGAGGCUGGAUUGAAUAGAACUGAUGCAUCUCUGUGGCAAACCAGUAUAAUACUUGUGAUAUGAGACUAAGAGGCAACAACCUCGGUACGGGUAGGCAUAGCAUAGUAUCUGGCUUGGCCUCCCCCUCUAAGGUGAUCUCUACCUCUACGACCUUCACCUCUAGCUGGCUGAUCAGGUACGGUAGCUAAUGGUGCUGGAACCAUGGCUUAAGAACUCUGGAGGCACGUUGUGGCUGAAAAGUCUAUGGAGGUGCACCUUUCCAAAGUCUGGGGCAAUCCCUCACAAUGUGGCGUAUGUCACCACACUCAAAACAAGCUCUGGGAGGACGUGGUCGCUGUGACUGGCAAGGGCCAGAUCUGCUGGAUUGACCUCUAAAGGCACCCCACGCAGGAGGCGCUCUAGAAACCUGAGGUGCAUAAUAAAUCUCUGAGUUCUAGGAAGAGCUGCAGCACUACUGGCCGCUGGAAGAGCUGAAUAAACAUGGUGACUCAUGUAACCCCUAAGAUGAUGACAUGUGGCUAGGAUACGGGCACCUGAAUAAUUACCCGACUCUCGAGACCUCUUAGCCUCUCUCUCCUCUCUCUCCCUAGCAUGCAUGCCCUCAAUCCUCCUAGCAAUGAUCACCACCUGCUAAUAAGAAAUAUCUAUCUCCAAUUCAUGAGCCAUGCUAGAUUUGAUGUUGGGAGUAAGCCCCUCAAUAAACCAGCGAACCCUCUCGCGAACAGUAGCAACCAAGGCUGGUGCAUGCCUAGCCAAACUGGUGUAAUGGAUAAUAUACUAUUAAAUACUCAUAGUGACCUUGUGCAAAUGCUCAAACUCUGCACGUCAUGUGUCCCUAAGGCUCUGAGGAAUAUACCCUCUCAGGAACAGAUCUGAACAUAUAGCAUACUCUGAAACUGUCUGAUGUUCUAACGGUCAAUACCACACAAGAAGAGAUGGGUGAUUUGUGUGGUACCCAAUUUUCAAUCUAGAAGAACCUGGCUCUUCUAGGUGUUCUAAUAAUACUAUAUGCAGAACUAAAGUACAAAAAUUAAAGAACACAGAUAUUUUUACGUGGAAAACACCUGGCUCAAAAAGUGAAAAAACCACGACCUACUACACAGUAGUAUUUUCCCAAACAUCCACUAAAAUCACUAAGCCAAAACAGCAUUUACAAAACUCUUUGUAAACUAAAGGAUUAACUCUAAUCCCAAUGUGGCACAUAGCCUCAACUGUUGCAACACCUUCAAGUUAACUCUAACUUGAAUACUCAAAGUACCUAAUACAAUUGCUUCUAUGAAAGCUGGAAAUGUACAAUUUUAAACCCACUUGAAUACUCAAAGUACCUAAUACAAUUGCUCCUGUGAAAGCUGGAAAUGUACAAUUUUAAACCACCUACUACAAUUGAACUAGACUAAGAAUAAACACAAUGGAACUGGUUCUUCUAUCUCGUUCAAGUAGCUACACGAGUGCACACUUUAAUCUCACGUGAAUUUCUUGCAAAAUUGCCUUGCUCUUUUGCUCUCAACUUAGUUUAACUUCUGCAUAUGUGCAAUGAUGUAAAACAUAACAACUUCGUUAUUUAUUAAGUUAGUAAUCAGAGUUUGAUUGAGACUCAAUUGCUGAUCCUCCAUCGAAUUUGAGUCCUAGACCAAUACAAACUCCAACCCUUAUCAUUGAUACGGAUUGUGUUCUCUUCUCAUAAGGAGAUUUCUUCUCCUUAUUCCAUAUGCAAUAUUUUCAAUCAGAUCAGAAGAUAUUGUUGCUUGAUCCCUAAGACUUAUCUUCUUCACGUGCAUCUCAUAUACAUAAGUUGAUAACCACUGUGUCUCAUAAGAUUGACCUGGUCCAUCACUAAGUUCAUUUGUCAUUCUUCAAAACUUCAACUGAACUUAGGCCAACAAAUUCCCCCUUUUUGAUGAUGACAAACUCUAUGCUUUUACUGAUCAGAGAACCUAUGGAACUCAACUAAAUUAUCAACACUUUUACUUGGAAUUGUAACUUAUCAUAAAGGACUAGAUUUAAUCAGGUUAUAAAUAUCACUUUUUCAGAAUAUAAAGUAAAGCACAAUAUCUUUUCCCCCUUUUGGCAUCAUCAAAAAGUUGAAUAUAAUAUGAAUCCCAAAUUGUAAUAGUUACUCAUGGCCACUGGGGCAACUGCAGGUGAAAGCAUGGUUUAGUGAAGCAAUAAUCAAUCUUGACAAAACUUAACUAUUAAGAACGAAUCCUCACAAAGCAAGAGAAAAGCAAAUUGUCAUUGAUAAGAAAAUUCUUCUACAAAACAGUCCAUAAAAAGAAAGAAAAAACAUCCAACCAUGAGCAAAAAACAACCAAAGAAAAAUCCCUAAUCUGGGUCACUGGAGGGUUACUAGACUGAUUCAAGGACAAUGCCGGAGUACCUAAGGCUUGGAGGAACUAGAGGGUUGAGAUUGGAGAAGAUUGAGGAUUGUUUGAAGCAUCGCUCCACCCUUUUCCUAUUCAUUUUCUAGCUCAUCUUUCAGGCUAUUCCUCUCAUUUUCCCGUUCAACAACACGAGCCUGGAGCCUAGCAACCUGAGCAUCCUUUGUUCGCACUCUUGAACCAAGGCCCUAACCUUGCUGUUCACAGGAGUCUUCAGAGAUGAACUAGGUUCAACUGGGGCUACACUGAGAAGAUAGUCAUUAGCCUGCAGGGUUUUGACACCAAAAUAGUCCUUGCUGGAGGCCAUUUCCCAUUUCUUCAAGGGAUCAUUCAACCUAUACAGCACAGACAUCAGUAUGAAACCAUUAGGGGUGGCAUGAGCCUUGGAGCCAUUUAUGACCCUGUCCAUUAUCUCGACAAUGAAUGCAUGCCAGUUAAUCUGCUUUUCUCUCACAAGGCAUUCAAAAGAACCAAGUCCAUGUAGUUAGAAGUAUGCCUUUUCUCAUGUCUGGGCAGCAGACACUUGUUCACAAAUUCAAAUAGCACCUUGUGCUCAUGCUUCAACUUACUCUUCUGCACAAACCUUGCCUCUGGCACAUCUUCAGCAAACUCUGUAUCACAAAAGUUCCUGGUUAUUUGGAGAGCACUAGGAAGAUCAUCUAAACAAGGCCACCUCUGCCUAGUGCAGUCAUCAUAACCCUCACCGGGUAUGUCCAGAAUCUUGCCUAAUUUAGGUGCAUCAAACUGCGCCUUCACUCCCCUAAACACACUGGUGACUACCCCAUUUUUCACAUGGCAUUAGCCAUGAACUCGAUCAGCUCCUUUCUUGCUAGCCUUCCAUCCAUUUGAAGAACCAUGUUCUUCCAGCUUUAUGCAUCUAGGCAUCCACCAAUCUAAUCAUAUCUGGCUCCUCCAGGUCUUUCAGCAACCUCCCCUUCAGAAUCUUCCUCCUGCCAAAUCUGACAAUCAAUCUUGUUCCUUUUCAGACUUCUCCUCUUAUUCUUCCCCACUCUAUUCUUCUUCUUCUUCUUCUUCAGUAACCUUUACCUGUUUUCCUUUCACUGUCGACCUAGUUCUUUUGGCCAAUGAGGGUUCAGCAGAUACAUAUUUUGAAGACUUCUUUGCAGGAGUCUUGGUUCCUUUUGGUUUGGAAAUGGGAAACUCCACAGUUGUACCUCUUUCUUGAUGGAUUAAUUCCAUCUCCUCCUCCUCCUCCUCUUCGGCAGCCUCAGAACUUUCCACAACUUUUGCCUUUCUUUUUUACUUCUUCUUUUUCUUACUUUCUUCUAAAUCUUUCUGUAGUUCUGUCUCGCUUUUCUUGACCCUGCUCAUUGUUGCUCUUCCUUUAGGUAAUGAAGGAACAAAAGACUUGCAAGAUGCCACAUUGCUUUUCUGUUGGUUUGGAAGCAGUUGGAGUCUUUUGGGAAGAAGCCUUGCGCUUCUUUGGAGCAUAACUGGCCCCAACCUUCCUCAAGAUGUCAGCCAGGGUUUCCUCCACAGAUGAACCAGGUUCAUCUCGCUGCUCACUCAGAUAAACAAGGCCUUCAGCAGCCUCUCCCGAACUACUUCCUCCUGACUUGAUGCCACCCUCUUCUAUGCUACCACAGAUAGCAAGAACCUUUCCUUUCUUUUUCUUUCCCCUUCUACUAGACCCAGCCCAUUCUACAUUUUUACGGAUCCUACCAACACAAACCUAUUUUCUUCCCUUUCUACCACAUCAGAAUAUGCAAAACACGUAUUUACCUCUCAUGGGGUUUCUUGAUUUUUGUCAGUGUCAGAAGACCCAUGUUCUUCUGCUUCGCUGGCAGAGAUAAAUGCCUCAAACUCAGAGCUUGAGUCAUAUUCUGGGUUUUGUUUUGGCUAGUUUUCAGUUUUUCAUUUAAGGCUUUUCUCAAAGAACCAGAAGCUACAGUUUUCAUGGCCAACAUUUUCUGGCGAUGAAAUCUAGGUUUUGGGUUUUCAAUAGGAGGUGUUGAUGAUGAAGUAUUAGGAUAUACUAGUGGGGGAGUACCUAGAUUGUCUUGAGGAUUUGUCAUGGUAGAGUAUUUCUGGGAAUUUUGGAGAUAAAGGGGAUGAUCAGAAUUUUGGAAGAGGUGAAUGACGGUUAUGAACAAAAAGAAGGGAUGUAGUGUGUAUUUAAUAAGGGGUUAUGAUUAAGUGCAGUAACGACAUGCUUUUUCAGUAGUCAAUUUAGGGGUCUAAUCACAUUAGAAUUUCGGUCUCUUGGUGAUUGAUGGGCGACACUGGUUAUUAGGAAAAAGUCCCAUUUUGUUUAGACUCCUAGGAUAAUGAAACUGGUUCAAUGCUCAACGGAUAGAAUUUCUGGAAGUUUGGUGCAAUUAGGACUUUUGCUCACGAUUGCAAAAUCUAUCUUUCUAAUUGUGCAGAGUAUAGAAACAUACCUGAACUCUUUCAUGAGCAUAUACUGAUGAACCAUGUUUUCCAAGUAAAACUUCUCUUGAUCGUGCCUCAAAUGUGAUAAUAGAAAAACUUUGUAAGAGAUUAGUGAGUCAUAUAAACACAUGUCACAGGAGUAUACUAACCAAAGUAUGAAACUAAGUAAGGAUUAGUCUGGAUAUUUACAUAAUAUUAAGAAUUCCUAACCAAAAAAAAUUCAUAUUUUUUUAUUUUUUUUUUCAUUGUGCAUUCUGAACUGGACCUUUUUAGGUGAUCUUAAUCAUACCUAAUUCCAAACACUGUUCUUUUCAAUGUUUUCUUUACUUAGUGCUUUAAUGAAUAUGUCGGUUAUUUAUUUAUCAGUAGCACAUAAUUCUAUUGAAAUUAACCCUUUCUCAUAGUUAUCUCUUAAGAAGUAGUGUCUAACAUCUAUGUGCUUGGUCCUUUUAUGAUGAACAGGGUUCUUUUUCAUACUUAUAGCACUAGUGUUAUCAUAGAAUAUUGGGAAACAUCCCACUUCAAUUCCAAAGUCUACCAGCUAUUGUUUGAUCCAUAGCAAUUGAGCACAACAAGAAGCAGCAUCAACAUAUUCAGCUUCAACAGUAGAUAGGGCUACUGAGUUUAUCUUUUUGGUAGCCCAUGACACAAGACAUGAACCCAGGAAAUGUGCCACACCUGAAGUGCUCUUCCUGUCCACUAAGAAACCUACGUAAUCAACAUCAGCAUAUCCUACUAGAUCAAAAUUACUACCUUUGGGAUACCAAAGACACAUAUCAGUGGUGCCUUUCAGACUGCAUAAUCAGCAUCAGCAUAUCCUACUAGAUCAAACUUACUACCUUUGGGAUACCAAAGACACAUAUCAGUGGUCCCUUUCAGAUAUCUCAAUAUCCUUUUGACAACAGUCAAGUGUGACUCUUUUGGAUUUUCCUGGAAAUGAGCACAAAGCCCUACACUGAAAAUAAUGUCAGGUCUACUGGCAGUGAGAUACAAGAGCAAACCAAUCAUACCCCUAUACAACUUUUGAUCAACUGAUUAACCAGGUUCAUCAACAUCUAAUUUAGUGGUAGUUGCAAUAUGUGUAUCUAUUUCUUUGGUGACCUCCAUUUAAAACCUUUUGAUUAGUUAUUUCAUAUACUUCUGCUGAUGGAUCAUGGUCCCAUUUGGGCUUUGUUUGAUCUGCAAGCCAAAGAAGAAGUUUAGUCCACCCAUCAUACUCAUUUCAAACUCACUUCCCGUUAGUUUUGCAAAGUCCUUACUCAACCUAUCAGUAGUGGCCCCAAAUAUUAUGUCAUCAACAUAUAUUUGCACACAAGGAGGUCUUUACCUUUUUCCCUUAGGAACAAAGUGUUGUCAAUUUUACCUCUUUGGUACCCAUGCUCCAGUAGGAAUUUUGAUAGUCGUUUAUACCAAGCUCUUGGGGCUUGCUUGAGCCUAUAUAGAGCCUUGUCCAGCUUGUACACAUGCUCAGGACAUUCUUUGCUUUCAAAACCUGGAGGUUGUUUCACUAACACUUCUUCCUUGAGGUAGCCAUUCAGGAAGCACUUUUGACAUCCAUCUGAUGGAGUGCGAAUUGCAUAUGUGCUGCAAAGGCUAUAAGGAGUCUGAUUGCCUCUAGUGUUGCAACUCGAGCAAAGGUCUCAUCAUAGUCAAUACCUUCCUCUUGGCUAUAGCCCUAAACCGCCAGCCUUGCCUUGUUUCUUGUAACCGUUCCAUCUUCAUCAAGUUUGUUCCUGAAGACCCAUUUUGUACCAAUGAUUGAUCUGCCCUUGGGUCUUGGAACUAGAUGCCAGAAUUGACCUCUUUCAAAUUGGUUGAGUUCCUCCUGCAUAGCAUUGACCCAAUCUGCAUCCUACAAAGCCUCAACAACAUUUUUAGGUUUAAAAAGAGAUAGAAAAACAUCAAAUGCACACAGAUUCUUCAGUUGUGAUCUAGUUUUGACUCCAGAUGUUGGAUCAGUAAUCAUGUUCUCAAUAGGAUGAGAACUUUGAUACUUGGGAUUUCACCACCAACUGGUUUUUACUAGUUGAUUAUCCUGUGUUCUGUUGCUGAGGAACAAGUUCUUGUAGAGAGUUUGUUUCAAUUUCUUUGUGGUUAGUUCCCCCUAUCAAGUUGCCCUAAGUGGAAGAACCUGUUCCAUCACCUAUUCCUUCUUUUGAUGCUACUUCAGUCAAUUCUUUUACAAUCCAAUGGCUUUAUCUUCAUGUUCCUGUCUCUCAGAUAGAAUGUUAGUCUCAUCAAAUACAACAGCACACUUUCUUUUGCACACAAAGAUCUUUUAUUAAACACUUUACAUGCUUUGCUAUGUGAAGAAUAUCCCAAGAAUACGGCCUCAUCACUUCUGAGAUCAAACUUACCUAGGGAGUCUUUUCCAUUAUUAUGCACAUAGCAUUUGCAACCAGAUGCCCUAAUAUGGGAUAUGUUUGGUUUUCUCCCUUUAAGUAACUGAUAGGGAGUUUUCUCUACUAGAGGUCUAGUCAUGCAUCUAUUGAUUAUAUAACAUGCAGUGUUUACAGCCUCUGCCCAGAAGCUGUGGGGAAAUUUACUAGAGAGAAGCAUGGUCCUUGCCAUAUCCUUAAGGGUCCUGUUCUUUCUUUCAACUACUCCAUUUUGCUGAGAAAUCCUAGGGGCAGAGAAGUCGUGAUCUACACCAUUUUCAUCACAAUAUUCAGCAAAUUUUGCAUUUUCAGAUUCAGUUCCAUGAUCAGACCUAAUGGAUGCAAGUUGAUCUCCUAAUUGUUUCUGAGUUGUUCUAACUAAAGCAGUAAACAUUUCAAAUGCCUCAUCUUUCGAUGUCAGAAAUAUACACAGGUAAAUCUAGAAUAAUCAUCAGCAAGCAGCAUCACAUAUUUCUUACCACAUCUGCUCAUGGUUCUCAUUAGACCAUUGAGAUCCAUAUGAACCAGUUCCAACAUCUUGGACGUACUUAUCAUUUUCUUGGAUUUGAAGAAUGACCUUACCUGCUUCCCCUUUCACAUGCCACACAAUCUUUGUCUUCCUUGAACUUGAUAUUAGGUAACCCUAUCACCAAGUCCUUGGAGACUAAUUUGUUUAGCUGAUUUAGACUAGCAUGGCCAAGUCAUUUGUAUCACAGGAGGGGAUCAUUGACUAACACACUUAAACAGGUGAGUUUAUUUUCUAAAAGAGUGGACAAAUCUACAAUGCAAAUAUUGUUAACUCUUUUUCCCUGCAAAACAAUCUUGUCAAUGGUAAGGUUAAACACAAAGCAUUUGGUAGAGGUGAAAGCUACAAGGUUACCUCUGUCACAUAGUUAUGAAACACUGAUUAGGCUAUAUUUCAAGCCAUCUAUCAAGUAGACAUUCUCAAUAGAAUGAGAGUCUGUCUUUCCUACCUUUCCAACCCUAAUGAUCUCACAUUUCUUUCCAUUACAAAAGGAGACAUUACCUCCUUUUAGAUUCUCAAGUGAAAGGAACUGGUCCUUGUUCCCAGUUAUGUGUUUUGAGGUGCCACUAUCCAUGUACCAUAUUUGGCUACUCCCUUUCACUUGAACCCGAAAAAAGAAAUCAGGGGUUAGUCUUAGGAACCCAAACUAGUUUGGGUCCAUUUCUAUGGGCAAAAGGAUGAAUCAAAUUAUUUCUUGCCGAACCAGGUAGCUUGUGUUUCUCUUGAACAAAAGCUUUGUUCUUUUGAUUGUCAUUUUCUUUUGCAUUGCACUAAUUUUUAUAAUUGCCAGUCUUACCAUUGUGUGUGCAGAUCUUAUUCUAAGGAAGUGUGAGGUACUUGUUUUUGGGGUCCCAAGUUGGAGUUUGAGUCCCAUAACCAAGUCCUCUUUUAUUGCUACUCACCUUUCCCAUAUCUUAUUUAAGGACCUUAAUCAAUUCAUCUUUAUUAUACAUUUCAUCUUUCAUUUUUCCUAGAUUUUCUUCUAGAGUGAGAAAUGAGUGAUCAGCUUUCUUUUUUCUGGUUCCUAGUUUUAGUUCUAGGUUUUCAGACCUAAGUUCUAGAACACUAUUUUCAAUUUCAAGAAUUUGGUUCUUCAACUCAACAUUUUUGUUAUCACUCUCAUCAGCCCUAGAUUAUAGACUUUUGCCUUUUGCUUUUAGGAUAACUCAUUCCCUUGACAGAACUUCCUUUUCAUUGUUAACUAUCUCAGACUCAUCAAUAAAGUCUAAUAAUAGCUCAGCCAACCUUUCUUUAGACAAAAAUUUAAUUUUGUCCUUGAGAUACAGAAUACUUACAUCUUGCUCAUCAUUGAUUCUCCAAUCGCCAUAAGAGCUUGCUCUUCUUCAGCUUAAUCUUCUGAGUCUUCAUAAGAGGUUUCACCCCAUCAAAAAUUAAAUUUUGUCUUUGAGAUGCAGAAUACGUACCUCUUGCUCAUCCUAUGAUUCUCCAAUGGCCAUAAGAGCUUGCUCUUCUUCAGCUUCAUCUUCUGAGUCUUCAUCAGAGGUUUCACCCCCAAACAGCAACCAUAGCCUUGGUUGAUCCUUUGUAUCUUUUAGGUUGAACCUGUUCCUUUUUCCUGUUUCUUCGUGAAACCCUUUAUUUCUUCCACUUAAUUUUCCAUUGAGGGCAAUUAUUAAUCAUCUGGUCAGUCUUACCACACUUAUAGCAGCCUUCAUUAGUCUGUUUCUCAGGCGCUCUUGUCUUAUUAAAGUUUGUACCUCUUGAUGAACCCUUUCCUCUCAUCAGGUAAUUUUUGAAAUCUCUAGUAAACAUAGCCAUCUCAUCAUCUUCCAGAUCUGAACCUUUUGUAGUUUUGAGAGCUAGGCUUCUCUCCUUCUUGGGUGUAUCCAUCUUCCCGGUUUGCCUUCUUAGUUCAUAAGCAGUAAGAUUUCCAAUCAGUUCAUCCAGUUUGAGAGUAGUCAUGUUCUUGGAUUCCUGAAUAGUAGUGAUUUUGCUUUCCCAAGAAACUGGAAGAACUCUUGUCAAUAUUUCCUCAACCUUGUCUUCUUCAAUAAUAACCCUUCCAAGAGACUUAAGUUCAUUUGUCAGUGUAGUGAACCAAGUAUACAUCUCUUGAAAAGUUUCUCCAUCUUUCAUAGUAAAAUUCUCAUAUUGAGAAUACAACAGUGUUCCUCUAGAUCUCUUCACUUGAGGUGUUCCUUCAUGAGCCUCUUGAAAAGUGUCCCAUAUCUCUUUUGCAGUAGUACAACUUUGGAUCCUGCUGUACUCAUCUGGAUCCAGUCCACAUACAAGCCAUUUUUUGGCCUUAGCAUUUUCCUCCACUUUUUCAAGUCUUCAGCAGUGCAGUUUGCCCUUGUCUUUGGCACAUCCACUCCUUCCUUGUUUUCAUUGUAGUUGCCAAAGGACAAUCAAUGCUUAUAUCCCAGAGUUCAUAGUCUUCCCCUAUGAUGUGAUCUUUCAUCCUGUUUUUCCACCAAGAGUAAUACUAUCCAUUGAAUAGUGGAGGCCUAGCAGUGGAUUGCCCUUCCUAGUUCCCAGGUGGUGCACUCAUGUUGAUAUUUUCCUAAGGUUUUAGCCUCUUCAAGGUAUCCCGCUCUGAUACAAUUUGAAGUUCCAAACGUCAAUAAUACACAAGAGGGGAGGGGGUGAUUUGUGUGGUACCCAAUUUUGAUCUAGAAGAACCUGGUUCUUCUAGGUGUUCUAAUAACUACUAUUUGCAGAAAUAAAAGUACAGAAAUUAAAGAAUACAGAUAUUUUUACGUGGAAAAUACCUGGCUCAAAAGGUGAAAAAACCACGACCUACUACUCAGUAGGAUUUUCCCAAACAUCCACCAAAAUCACUGAGCCAAAACAGUAUUCACAAAAAUCUUUAUAAACCUAAGGAUUAACUCUAAUCCUAGUGUGGCACACAUCCUCAACUUUUGCGACACCUUCAAGUUAACUCUAACUUGAAUAUUCAAAGUACCUAAUACAAUUGCUUCAUCGAAAGCUGGAAAGGUACAAUUUUAAACCACCUACUACAAUUGAACUAGACUAAGAAUUAAAACAAUGGAACUGGUUCUUCUAUCUCAUUCAAGUAGCUGCAGGAGUGCACACUUUAAUUUCACAUAAAUUGCUUGCAAAAUUGCUUUUGCUCUUUUGCUCUCAAUUUAGUUUAACUUCUGUGUAUGUGCAAUGCUGUAAAAGAGAACAAACUUUGUUAUUUAUUGAGUUAGUAGUCAGUGUUUGAUUGAGAGUCAAUUACUGAUCCUCCAUCGAAUUUGAGUCCUAAACCAAUACAAACUCCAACCCUUAUCCUUGAUCCGGAUUUGUUCUAUUCUCAUAAGGAGACUUCCUCUCUUUAUCCCAUAUGCAAUCUUUUCGAUCAGUUCAGAAGAUAUUCAGAAGAUAUUGUUCCUUGAUCCCUAAGACUUAUCUUCUUCAUAUCAAUCUUUUCGAUCAGUCAGAAGAUAUUUAGAAGAUAUGUUACUUGAUCCCUAAGACUUAUCUUCUUCACGUGCAUCUCAUAUGCAUAGGUUGAUAACUACUGUGUCUCAUAAGAUGGACCUGGUCCAUCACUAAGUUCAUUUGUCAUUCUUCAAAACUUCAACUGAACUUGGGCCAACACUGUAAUAGCACCCUGGCGCAAAUACACAAACUCUGCAUGUCAUGCGUACCUUAGGCUCUGAGGAACAUACUCUCUCACGAACAGAUCUAAAAACUGAGCCUAAGUCAGUGAAGCAGCUUCAUCUGAACUGUCUAACUCAUAGGUGUGCCACCACUCAUAGGCGGCCCUUCGAAGCUGAAAGGUAAUGAAAGAAACCCCGCUGGAUCCUGAAAUACCCAUGGUACAAAGAAUGCGGUAGCACUCAUCAAGAAAUCCCAGAGCAUCCUCCUAUGCUAGACCACUGAAUACAGGAGGCUUGUACUUCUUGAACCUCUCAAGUCUCAGUUGCUCAUCCUCGUAAGCCACUGCCGUGUCCUCGGGAUGAACAUGCAUUGCAGGCGGUACAUGGAUAAUCUUGGGAACCUGUUCAAAAGGCACUUGCUGCUUAGGAGUGCGGGCGCCGAGAGUUUGUGCAAAGAGUCCUUUAUUUUAGUCUUAAGGAAAAAAGAUGUUCAGUUAUAUUGAAGAACAGAUCUUAAUUUAGACAAAUUAAUAACUUGGGGUUGUGAUAAUUUGUAAAAUACAUAUGCUUGUGAUAAGUAGGAUAAAUCAAAAUAAAUAUGUGAAUUUUUCUUACUAAUAUUAUAAAGUAACUUUUUUAUAGUCGAAAUAAAGUGAAUUUUUUUUUAUUAUUAAUUUUUUCUUGAUUUAUUUCAUUAUUGGAAAUGUAUUUAUCAAUCAAUUUGUUUGUUGAUNNNNNNNNNNNNNNNNNNNNNNNNNNNNNNNNNNNNNNNNNNNNNNNNNNNNNNNNNNNNNNNNNNNNNNNNNNNNNNNNNNNNNNNNNNNNNNNNNNNNNNNNNNNNNNNNNNNNNNNNNNNNNNNNNNNNNNNNNNNNNNNNNNNNNNNNNNNNNNNNNNNNNNNNNNNNNNNNNNNNNNNNNNNNNNNNNNNNNNNNNNNNNNNNNNNNNNNNNNNNNNNNNNNNNNNNNNNNNNNNNUAUAUAUGUGUGUGUGUGUGUGUGUGUGUGUGUGUGUGUUCCUAAGUGUUUUAGUAUUUUUCCCAAUUUAAUAUUUUUUAAAUCAAUUUUGUUGUCCAUUUUAGCAGUAUAAAAAUCAAUAAUCAGUCCCGAAAUUAUCAUUUUUUGUGAAUAAUUUAUUUUAUUCCCAUACUUAUGCCAAAAUAAAGCUAAAGUAAUUUUUAAACAUUUUUACAAAUUUAUUUGAUAUUUUAAAAGCUAAAUGGCAUAUAAUUGUAAUUUUAACCUAUUUUGAGAAUUAAUAACAUUUUAUAAUUAGGAAAUCGGUUUUAAUAUUUUAAAGUUAAUAUUUAUAUGUUAUUAAGUGACUCAGUACCUUUUAUUUGUUUUCAAAGUCAUUUUUACUAUUUUAAUAAAAUAAUAAGGGAAAACUAGCUAUUUAAAAUCUGACCUAUUUUUAUUUUAAUUAUAGCCAAUUUUGAUCCCCCUAAUUGACCCAAUUUCAAGACCAAUUCUGGAACAGCCCAAUCAAGCCCCUGACCCAUUUAUCCGAUCCGCCCGGUCCUUUCAUUUAAUCCAAGCCGUUGAUCAUUUUGAUCAACGGCCACGAUCACUCCUUACCUUUUUAAUUCACCAGCCGUACCCCAAUCCCCUCAUUUCGUUCUAUCAGCCACCUUUGAAUACCCUCCCUCUCUCAAAAUCUCUGGAAGGUUCCUCGAAACCCUAAUCCUCUUCACCACUUUCAAUCAUCAUCUCACUGGAAUCCAUGGUUACUCAGGCCAUGGAUGGACUAUACUCACCUCCCUCCACCCUUAAACGCUUGGUGCUCGAAGUUUCGAGGCCUGACCUCGAUGGUGUCCAUUCAGAUUUUCUCCGAUUCAAGGUUCCAUAUGGCCUCUCCGGCCUUUCUCCGGUGUAUCCAAAGCAUCUCGAGCCUGGUUCUGACUCAUCCGAUUCAAGAUCAGACCUUUUUCCAAGCCUUUCUCAUUUUAGGGUUCCUCUGAAACCCUAAAUAGUUGAGGUUUUCUCAGAUUGUUUUCUUAAAUCUUCUUUAUAUUUGUGCUCUACUAGAAUUUUAAAAUGUUUUCCCUAAUUUUUCUUUCAAAAAUUACUUCUCUUCGAUUUACGAUUUUCGAAAGUCUCAAGAUGUUUCUCUGACUCUUCUUCUUCUUUUCUUUGUGGGUAUCCAUCUAUGCUAUGUUCUUAUGUUUUCUCUUCUACCUUGCAUGAUCUUCUACUGUGUUCUUAUGUUUGCAUAUUCUUCUACUAUGUCUCUAUAUCAUGCUAUCACAUGUUUAUCUUGCUAUGUUUCCUUGUGUGUUCUUUUGCUAGGCUUCUUACAUCUCUAUGUUCCUGUAUGUAUUUCCUACUAAGUUUUCAAGUUAUUUGUUUGCCUUUCACUGGACCUUUGGUUGAGUUCUUCUUAAACAUGUUUCCUCUACUAUUUUCUUAAGUGUUAUACUACUUCUUUUUCUCUUCUAAAUUCCUACAUCUCUCUGUUCCUGUAUGUAUUUCCUACUAAGUUUUAAAAUCUUUGUUUGCCUUUCAUUGGACCUUUGUUUUAGUUAUUUUUAAAUAUGUUUCCUCUACUAUUUUCUCAAGUGUUAUGCUUCCUCUUUUUCACUUCUAAACUUGUUUAAAUUCCAAGCUUUUCGUAAAACGUGUUCCUUCUACUCUCACUAUGCUUCAAAUAAGUUUCUUCACUCUAUUUGCUUCGAAUUUUCUAUUGUAUCUAUUUGUUUUCUCAUGAGUCUCUGAAAGAGAUCUCUGAGCCUGUUUCAAUUACUUGGCUCCUUGUCUCUGUAUCUGAUUCGACUUAGAAACGCUAGAAUUUGGGGGUUUGAUGAGGUUGAUUUUGUGUUUGAACUAGGGUUCUACUUUGGAACCCUUGACUCUCCCAGACUCAUUUUGAGUCUAUAAACUGGAUUUGAACCUCUUUGUUUAUGACUCUGAACUCUUCUAUGCUAGACUCUUCUGAUUGGCAUGAUAGUUCUUUCUUGUUUAAGCAUGUCUAUAUGUUUUUAUAUGUGUGUUGAACCUUUCUUCAAAGGGCUUUCCAAUUUAUGAUUGAUUCAGAAUGUUUUUUCAGGCUUGAUUGAUUGUUAUUGAUUUUCCUUAAGUAAAAUGUUUUGUCACUUUUCCUGACUUGGUUCAUUCGCACAAAGCCUGCAAUUUUUAUUUCUUGGUUGAUUUCCUUUCCUUACGUGCACAAACCAUGUGAUGUCAAACCUUUUCCUUAAAUAGACCUUUUGUAUUUACCCCUCUUGUACUGCUUUGGAAAGUUUUUGAUUGACCUCUUUCAUUAAUUAUUUUGCCCAUUUAAAAUCAGAAUCCUUUAAUUAAAGGGAGACCUUGUGUAAUUGAUUUCCAACUAUUUUUGUACCUAUUUCUACUUGCUUUCUGCACUAUUAAAGGGCACGAUCUUUCUGCACGUCAACACACCUUCAAUUCAAUAUUUUACCCUUCAGACUUCACAAUUCUCUUCUAAACUCAUAGCAUUCUGACACUUUGGCUUUACAAGACUAUUACUUUCUUCUUACUUGUUUCCUUGAAACUGGUAUGUUCUUGUUUUAGCUCUCAGCAUCACCCCAAUGUGUUUACUUACAGCCUUUACAUUUAUGCCUACUUUACUGUUUAUGUGAAGUUAAAUAUUAACUAUGCAUGUUCUUUUCCUGUAUCUGUUUCUAUUAUAAAUCUAUGUACCCCUAUCCCCUUCUAUGUGUUUGAGUUGAAGUUCAGAAUAUGGCAACAUCCAGAUUGUUGCUCAUGUCUGGAUUUCACCUUUUAAUGGGUCCUAACUCCCAAAAAUAUGGCUAACAGGCUGGUUGGAGUGUGCCAACACCUCCAAUUGCUGGGUAUGACCACCUGUCACACCUUCUUUUGGCUAUCCACAACCCGACGAAGGGCGUAGAUAAGGGAGUUUUCCCAAUUAAAGGACAAUCGAAACGAGAUUCAACUAUUUAAGAGAAUUUCAGAGUUGCCACUUGGGAGAUUUAUGGUGUCCCAAGUCACCAUAUAGAAUCCCAAAAUCGAGGAAAUAAUGAAUCUGUUUAACAGUCCGCGAACUAGAAAUUCAAAUAAAGAAUUCUGUAACCCGGGAGAAGGGGUUAGGCAUUCCCGGGUUCCGUGGUUCUAGCAUUGUCGCUCAGCUAUUGUAUUUGGCUUAAAUUAUCUGAUUUUAUACAACUUUGUGUUGGAAAUCAUGUAUACCUUUGAUAUGUGCGCUUUGGUUGUAUGAGCAUGAUUUUNNNNNNNNNNNNNNNNNNNNNNNNNNNNNNNNNNNNNNNNNNNNNNNNNNNNNNNNNNNNNNNNNNNNNNNNNNNNNNNNNNNNNNNNNNNNNNNNNNNNNNNNNNNNNNNNNNNNNNNNNNNNNNNNNNNNNNNNNNNNNNNNNNNNNNNNNNNNNNNNNNNNNNNNNNNNNNNNNNNNNNNNNNNNNNNNNNNNNNNNNNNNNNNNNNNNNNNNNNNNNNNNNNNNNNNNNNNNNNNNNNNNNNNNNNNNNNNNNNNNNNNNNNNNNNNNNNNNNNNNNNNNNNNNNNNNNNNNNNNNNNNNNNNNNNNNNNNNNNNNNNNNNNNNNNNNNNNNNNNNNNNNNNNNNNNNNNNNNNNNNNNNNNNNNNNNNNNNNNNNNNNNNNNNNNNNNNNNNNNNNNNNNNNNNNNNNNNNNNNNNNNNNNNNNNNNNNNNNNNNNNNNNNNNNNNNNNNNNNNNNNNNNNNNNNNNNNNNNNNNNNNNNNNNNNNNNNNNNNNNNNNNNNNNNNNNNNNNNNNNNNNNNNNNNNNNNNNNNNNNNNNNNNNNNNNNNNNNNNNNNNNNNNNNNNNNNNNNNNNNNNNNNNNNNNNNNNNNNNNNNNNNNNNNNNNNNNNNNNNNNNNNNNNNNNNNNNNNNNNNNNNNNNNNNNNNNNNNNNNNNNNNNNNNNNNNNNNNNNNNNNNNNNNNNNNNNNNNNNNNNNNNNNNNNNNNNNNNNNNNNNNNNNNNNNNNNNNNNNNNNNNNNNNNNNNNNNNNNNNNNNNNNNNNNNNNNNNNNNNNNNNNNNNNNNNNNNNNNNNNNNNNNNNNNNNNNNNNNNNNNNNNNNNNNNNNNNNNNNNNNNNNNNNNNNNNNNNNNNNNNNNNNNNNNNNNNNNNNNNNNNNNNNNNNNNNNNNNNNNNNNNNNNNNNNNNNNNNNNNNNNNNNNNNNNNNNNNNNNNNNNNNNNNNNNNNNNNNNNNNNNNNNNNNNNNNNNNNNNNNNNNNNNNNNNNNNNNNNNNNNNNNNNNNNNNNNNNNNNNNNNNNNNNNNNNNNNNNNNNNNNNNNNNNNNNNNNNNNNNNNNNNNNNNNNNNNNNNNNNNNNNNNNNNNNNNNNNNNNNNNNNNNNNNNNNNNNNNNNNNNNNNNNNNNNNNNNNNNNNNNNNNNNNNNNNNNNNNNNNNNNNNNNNNNNNNNNNNNNNNNNNNNNNNNNNNNNNNNNNNNNNNNNNNNNNNNNNNNNNNNNNNNNNNNNNNNNNNNNNNNNNNNNNNNNNNNNNNNNNNNNNNNNNNNNNNNNNNNNNNNNNNNNNNNNNNNNNNNNNNNNNNNNNNNNNNNNNNNNNNNNNNNNNNNNNNNNNNNNNNNNNNNNNNNNNNNNNNNNNNNNNNNNNNNNNNNNNNNNNNNNNNNNNNNNNNNNNNNNNNNNNNNNNNNNNNNNNNNNNNNNNNNNNNNNNNNNNNNNNNNNNNNNNNNNNNNNNNNNNNNNNNNNNNNNNNNNNNNNNNNNNNNNNNNNNNNNNNNNNNNNNNNNNNNNNNNNNNNNNNNNNNNNNNNNNNNNNNNNNNNNNNNNNNNNNNNNNNNNNNNNNNNNNNNNNNNNNNNNNNNNNNNNNNNNNNNNNNNNNNNNNNNNNNNNNNNNNNNNNNNNNNNNNNNNNNNNNNNNNNNNNNNNNNNNNNNNNNNNNNNNNNNNNNNNNNNNNNNNNNNNNNNNNNNNNNNNNNNNNNNNNNNNNNNNNNNNNNNNNNNNNNNNNNNNNNNNNNNNNNNNNNNNNNNNNNNNNNNNNNNNNNNNNNNNNNNNNNNNNNNNNAAUUACCGUAUUUACUUAUUCCUGCAAUUUUAAAUUCCGCAAUAUUUCAAUAUUCUCGUGCCUCACUAUUCACCCCCCCCCCAGUGAACGGCAUAAAUUCUAACACUUUGAACCUAUGUGCAUUUUUAAUUUUUCAACCACUAUUAUUAUUAUUAUUAUUAUUAUUAUUAAAAUAGGAUUGCAACGACGUUAAAACAUGCCUUGAAGCACUGCCACAUAAAUGCACUAGUGGUUUUUAACACAUUUCAACUUCGCCGAGAUUCGGAUUUGGGUCACAUAAAUGUGCACCCGUGUGUAAGGAGAUAAAAUUAUUAAGGACAUUUCCUGAAGCAACUAGCGGAUUAUUAUCUUUGCGGGAACACCGUGAAAUUUGCUAAACGGUAUAUCCCAAAUUUUCUUAGUAUUUUAGCAUUCAGUAUUUUUAAAAGGCCAGCCAUAGCAUUGACUAUGGAUUAUAAAAGGUUCAUAAUUCAUUACUAUUGUCAAUACACCAUUACUGAAGUUUGUCAAAAUCGAGCUUCGAGUUGAAAGGUUCUGCUCAGGCAGCCUAAACGCUUAUGAAAUGUUAUCCAAACAUGGGCCUCCGCUCAAUCCAACUUGAAAGGGAAGUCCCGGAUUAGGACUAAACCAUACACAAACAGAGGUUUGGCCCAAACCGGUUCAACUCUAAUUCGUUAACAGACUCAAGCAGUUAUUGGAUUUGUUUUUUAACAAUAAACCCAUCAACGCAUGGCUAUAAAUCUAUUGGCUCCAAAUCCUUGGGUUAGAAUAACGUUUAAGCUAAAUGAGUCUCUUCAAAACAUGAAAGUGACUAAAACUGAACCACAAUAAUCAGAACAUAAAAAUAGGACAUCACAAAUGGAACUAAAACUACCAAUUCGUUAGUUUAUAGCAAGAGUCACUACUGAAUCUGAAGUUCGAAUUUUUAAUUCUUAAUACCAAGAGCUACUUGGUUUUACCACGGCGUAAACUCAUAAAUUCAUGUUUCAAACAUCAUUUCCAACCACCAUUGACUUUAUCCUAAACCUCAAAUCCACAGAAGAAUCAUAGAAACUGAAAUUACUGGAACUACAGUCAAUUGAUACAAACAUGAAUUAUUUAAAUGAGCAUCAUGGUUGAAUGCCAAAACUAAGCAACCCUUGUAAGAUAUCAUGCAAAAAUAGACAGCUCUUUAUUCACUUGAUCCAAAUAUUGCUCAUACAUGUGGACUCAUCUUUCCACAUCACUUGAGUCAAAAGAAAAGUACCUGAAGAUUGCGAAUAAGAAGGAAAAGGUGAGGUUAACAGCUGCAGACGACAAAAAGCAGAUCACAGCCACAGUAGAGCCAUUUAAACCCAACAUAGCACAAAAAUGAGCAAGAAUGAGCCCAAUAAACAACACAAUCAGCAAACAACCAGCUCAAACUAAGUGGUGCAAAACAAACCCCAGGACUCAACUUGUAGCAAUUCUUAAAUCUCAAAUUGAUUCAUAUCAAUAUCAAAUAAACCAGGGGGUAUAUCAGAAUGGUAAGAUUUUAGAAAUCAAUAAAUAAAUCCAUGAAAAAGUAGAAAUUUUGCUGGCUGUGUAUAUUUUGUAUUCUAGCAAUCCAACCCCCUUGCCUUGAAAGGCAAGAAUAGAUGUGUUUAUAGGAAAAGCAAGUAGAGCAGCCCUUAUACUUAUUUCGGCAGUUUAGUCCUUUUGUUUUUAACUUGUUGACCAAGUUUUAUUACCAAAAACCUAAAAACCCAAUUUAAACCCCCACACUAAAAACCUCCAGAGACUCCCAUUCCAUUACUAGAAUAUUCUUCAACUUACACUACCCAAGUUACCCUCAAUAGACAUAUUAUUUACCCCUGAACCUUACAGGGAUUAUGGGUCAGGUUCAAAAGGAAGCUCUAUUUCAAAUUGGGUCCAGGACUACAGCCCAAUUCACAAACCUUCAAUCACUAAUCACUUGAGUAUUGAAGCUCAGAUGAAUGAGGCUGCCUGGGCCAACAACUAGAAAAGAAAACAAAGAGGCAAGAAAUUGAGCCCAAAGGACUCCACUGAUCCCAAAAUAAUUCGAUUACUCUAGCAUCAUUCAUGAAUUCAGCAAACAAUUUAAAAAAGACACCUGGACGUGUUGCUUAACGAUUCUGAACAUUAAGAUUAUGCAAACAAAAGACAAUAACAAUUUUAAUUUUCCAUAGGAAUUAAUUUCAAGAACAACAAACAUGCUAAAACUAACUAUUGAGCAAUCAGAAUUAAACACAUGAAAAGAAAAAGAAAGAAGAAAGAAAAAGAAACCAAGGGAGAAACAGGAAGAGGAAAAUACCUCCUGAAACUGCUAGUAAAUCAUCCAACCCUUGCAAGACUCGAAACAGGCAUUAGCUGUAUGUUCUUGGUGAAAACAAUGGGUCAAUAACCAUUUUAGAGCCUAUCACUUAAUAUCUUGACAUACAUGUUCCUUCUUAGGUUUCAGAUUCAAAGAGGAGUUGAUAUGGUGAGGAUUUAUGGCGAAAUAGGGAUAGAUUGGGGUUGAGGGACGGGUAGUGGAUGUACCGAAGGGAUUCAUGGUUAAAUGGAGGUGGCGCCGCCACUAGAGACCAAGGGCGGCAACUAGGGUUCAUAAGUUCAAGCGAAGAUUUGAAGAGUUUGGGUGUGUUUUGAGGGAAACUCAAGUCGGACUUGGAGAGGGGGAAGAAGGAGAGACUAUAGUGUUAAUCUGGGAGCAUUCAGAGUAGUUCGAGUUAUCGCCGCCGGUGGAGUUGACGGAGAAAGUUAGGGCAGCGGGUCUCCAAGGUUUUGGGAGGAUUAGAGAUGGAAUGGGGUCUGUAGGGGGUGGGUAUGGUUCGGACAUAUUUACAUUGAUGAACCCCAACUUCUCGACCGUUAGAUCGAGCAACAUAGACGACCAGAAUUGAUAAGAGCCAAACAGUGUCGUUUCGUUACAACGGGGUUGGACCGAGUUUCCUGAGGCGGGUUGGGCUAAUUGAAACGGGUUGUGGGGGGUUUGGGUCAGACUUGAGUGGGAUUAGGGUAAAAAAAUGGCCCAAAAAUUGGGUGUUUAACAAGACUAACCCAAUUUUUUAUAAUUCUUCUCAUUUUAUUCGUUUUCUUUUUAUUUGUUCUUUUUCUUUUCUUCUUUUCUUCUUUUUGGUUAUUUUUUUUAUUUUUAUUAAAUGAAAAAUUUAAAAAAUAAAAACCCAAAUUGACUCUAAAAUUAUAUUACUUAAUUUCCAAAUACACCAAUUCUUAAUUUAAAUGCAACCUAAGAUAAAUUAAUAGUAUAAAUGCAAAAGAAUUAUUUUUGUUAUUUUCUUCUUUUUAAAGUAUCUUAAUUACUGUUUAAUCCAAAAAUGUGAAAUUAAACCCUAAAUGCGAAUGCCAAUUAUAUUUUUUAUAUUUUUUUAUUAAUUAAAAUGCACAAACAAAAUGCAAACAAUUAACAUAAAAUGUCACAAAAAUCCACCAAAUUGCAAAAUAAUGAACGAAAUAAUUUUGUCUGAAUUUCUGAAAGUAAAUCAUAUAGGGCAAAAAUCACGUGCUCACAGCUGCCCCUCUUUGCUCGGAAACAUGAAGAGUUUUCGUGCAAAGAUAAGUGAGCGGAUACGAGCAAUUUUUGCCCGUUUGUAUACUCUGUUGUGAAGCAUUUUUUUCUAAGAUUUGACCGUACCCCACUUCUAAGCUUUCCUACAUACCCUCGGCUAAAGAGGAAUCAGGUCAAUGUAGUUUAGGAGUGUUUUGUAGCUGGUACUACCGAGGCAGUGAUUUCACUGUUGUUGCUGCUUCUAAUGUUACCAGACUCCCUUAUUACAUCUUGUGAAAAACAAAGAAUCUAGACUAAGUUAUGAACUAUGGAUUACAAAAGAACCAAUAUAUGUCUUCGAUCUUGCUCUUGAUCCUUGUUUGCUUUGUUUCCUUGUAUUUGUUCCUGUGAACUCCUAGCUGCCUUGUUGGCUUCUUAUUUUCUCUUCUUCUAUGUUUGUUGCCGAAUUAUUGGACUUGACAUGUGCUCCCUUGAAAAACAUUCCCUCGUUCUGCAGGUGGAUGCCUGAUUAUCAAAGCUUGAAAUUUAAAAAUAUUCCCUUGUUCUACAGGUGGAUGCCUGAUUACGAAAACUUGAAAUUAUAAAAAAUAUUCCCUCGUUCUACAGGUGGUCGCCUGAAUUUUGAGACUUUGAAAAUUUGGAAAAUAUUCCCUUGUUCUACAGGUGGGCGCCUGAUUGCAAAACUUGAAAUUUAAGAAUAUUCCCUUGUUCUACAGGUGGCGCCUGAUUACAAAACUUGAAUUUUGAAAAAUAUUCCCUUGUUCUACAGGUGGGUGCCUGAUUAUCUAAAACUUUGACAUUUUGAAAAAUAUUCCCUUGUUCUACAGGUGGUCGCUUGAUUGCCAAAACCUGAAAUUUUUUAAGAAUAUUCCCUUGUUCUACAGGUGGGCGCCUGAUUACAAAACUUGAAUUUUAAAAAUAUUCCCUUAUUCUACAUGUGGGUGCCAGAUUAUCAAAAAUUUGCAAUUUUGAAAAAUAUUCCCUUGUUCUACAGGUGGGCGCCUGAUUGCCAAACCUGAAAUUUCGAAAAAUAUUCCCUUGUUCUACAGGUGGGUGCCUGAUUGCCAAAACCUGCAAUUUUGAAAAAUAUUCCCUUAUUCUCGAGGUGGACGCCUAAUUACCAAAACGUAAAAGUUUGAAAAGUAUUCCCUUGUUUUACAGGUGGGCGCCUGAUUGCCAAAACCUGAAAUUUUAAAAAAUAUUCCCUUGUUCUACAAGUGGGCGCCUGAUUACCAAAACCUGCAAUUUUGAAAAAUAUUUCCUUAUUUUCCAGGUGGGCGCCUGAUUACCAAAACUUGAAAUUUUGAAAAGUAUUCUCUUGUUUUACAGGAGGGCGCCUGAUUACUAAAACUUGAAAUUUUGAAAAAUAUUCCCUUGUUCUACAGGUGGGCGCCUGAUUGCUAAAACUUGAAAUUUGAAAAAUAUUCCCUUAUUCUACAGGUGGCCGCCUGAUUACCAAGCCUAGAAUUUUGAAAAAUACUCCCUGAGGCUGCUACAUGUCUACCUGAUCACAACAAAACAAACCAAACACAAAAAAUUCUUCCUGCCCCAGUAUGGUGCUGGGCAGAUCCGUGAGUGUUAAUCAAAUCCCCUUACCAAAUAUCUCUAAAUCUAAGCUAAGUCCCAUUAUCCAGGAGGGUCCUGACAAUUCUUAACUGAUGACAACUUUAAGACUAUGUUAUGUUUCUGGAAAGGUAUUAUUUUCCACUGUGUCUUGUUAUUCGAGUUAUAUCUGCUGUGGUCUUCUGGUGGCUGGUGAUUAAAACUACUUCCCAUUAUCCAGGCGGGUCCUGACAACUCUUAAUUAGAUGACGAAAAGUUGACAACUGGGGGUUAGUAUUUAGGGCUACAUCCCACAAUCCAUUGGGGUCCUGACAACUCUUGUUGACUCUUGCUGGGGAAGUAUCUAAUCUAAGUCCCAUUUUUCAGGAGGUCCUGAUGGUGACUGGUGGGGUUAGUAUCUAAGGCUAUGUCCCAUUAUCCAGGGGGGUCCUGAGAACUCUUGUUGACUCUUACUGGGGAAGUAUUUAAUCUAAGUCCCUUUUUUUCAUGAGGGUCCUGAUGACUCCUGUUGGCUCUUGUUGGGGAAAUAUCUAAUCUAAGUCCCAUUUUUUAGGAGGGUCCUGACAACUCUAACUGAAUCGUACCUUGACGUACAAGUCAUUUAAUGCCAUUUUUUAUCCAUGAUUACUCAUAACCUUUAAAUGAGUCCAAUUCUACGAGAGGGUCCUGAGGGCUCCAACUUAAAUGCUGGUUGUAAUUUCAGGUUGUUUCUGCAACUCUUACUGGGGAGGUGUCUGCCUAUGUUACCCGCUCCUGUUUGAGUUUUAAACUUCGUUCCAUCUCAACUUCUAUGCCUCUUUUAACCCUCGGUUGUUUCUAUUAUGGUUUACCAGUUAAAGUUUGUCCCCCUAUGCUCUUGGCUGAGGAGGGUGUUUAUGACGGACUAUGUCCCUUUUGAGUUUUAACUGAGUCCCAUUUCCAGGUGGGUUCUGAGAUUUUGAUCAUACCUGUCGUGUGCCUGCCUUUUCCUGUGGACGGCCUUUAUUAGGCUCUUCCGAAAAUUUCUACCCCUGUGUUAGUCAAAGAAAACUUGUCAGUUUGAAGAAUGGUGGUUAGCUCGCGGCAUUCUUGUUGAGGACAGCCUCCUAUUGUCGUGUUCCGUUGUGUUCACUUUCCCAUAUUGAAAAUCUCUAGGCUCUAUUUUUCCCGCCUAUCGUUGUGUUACAUUACUAAUCUAUGGCCGGAAUCCUUUUCUUCUUCCCCCAUGAUUGAUGUGUUGAUGUAUCAUACUUUGGUUACACUUCCCAUCCUUGUGGCUUCGCAUUUUUUUUUAUCUUUGUGUUACCUUUCCCUUCCUUUGUCAACAUCUUUCCUCCAUUACCUGAAAUCAAAUAGUCUGUUUAUGAUGUCUGGUUGGCCUUCGCCUUUUGUGCCUUUAUAUUGAUCCCUACUUUGUGUUGCGCCUCCGACCCUUCUCUAGCAUUCUCUUGUUCCCUUUCUCGGCGAUUGUUAGGUUGAUAUAUAUCGUGGUGGGUCAGCUCUCAUGGCCAUUUCCGCCUUUGUGUUUUGCUUUCGCCAAUUUUGCUAGAAGCUUUAUAUCCUUUGCGGACAUUUGCUGAGUCAUGCUAUUAUGCUCGGUUGAUCCUUUGCUCCUCGCGGCUUUGUUUUGUUUCUCAUCUUGGUGUUACAUUUCCGAGCCCUCACCAGAAAUCCUUAUCCCUUUCUUGAGACUACCCGGUCCAUUUGGGAUGCUCGACUGACUCUUGACCUUUAUGCCCUCACUUCGCUUCUUACCCUAUGUUGCACUCUCGAUCCUUCACCGGAAUUCUUUAUGUCUUCUCCUGACGACUGACGUAUUACGCUUACUAAAACCUUGCGGCCUUGUGACCUUUCCUGUUUUCGUGUUAUGCCAACCACCUUGUGUUGCACUCUUGAUCCUUCACCGAAAUUCUUUAUGUUUUUUUUACGACUGAUGUAUCACGCUUGGCUGAACUUUGCGACCUUGCGCCCCUUUUCCCACCUUCGUGUUGCGCCAAAUUUGCGUCCCUUUUGAGAUAGCCCGGCCGGUGUAUGAUGCUUGGCGGGCCUUGGAGCCUUUGCGAUUUUACUUUGCACGCCCUUUCUGUAUAGUAAUCCUUCACUUUGCCUACUCUUAUCUUUUCCAUCAAUUGCAGCUUUUAUAAAUCUUUCCUUUUGUUGUCCCACACUUGUUAUCUUCAUUACGUGUUUGAGCGUCGUGCACUUUGUCCCUAAGGGAGUUGGUAAUCGGCUUUGACAUUCCUUUCGUUCGCUUAAUCAAAAGAUAUUAGACUCGAAUGAAAAAUGAAAUGCAAGGACUCCUAACGAUAUUUAGGGGGAAGAAUUCCAGACUUGCUGACUGUUGAAAAGACAAGAAAGAAGACUUAUCUGAAAAGGAACCGCUGGUUUUCGCGAUAAUGACAUGCACUUCGGCCUAGUCGACCCAAUCCUUUUCGAUGACCGACCCCUUCGUUGUCGUACUUUUGUUGUUGUGACCCUUCUAACACAAUUCUUUUAAUCAAACCCUAACUCGUCUUGCCCUGCAGUGUUCAUCCAUCAAUAGCCCCUUUCUGAGUUUUGCUAUUACCAUACCUUCGCCUCAUGGUGACUAUGAAGGUUUUCACCGAUAAGACUCUCUCAUUUUAUUUUCUCUCAAACUCUCGUCGCCUUAUGGUGCCCGUGAGAGUUUUCGCCAAUAAGACUCUCUCCUUUCAUUAUCUCUCUCGUCGAGCUCGAAGUGCUGCCCCUGACAUGAAUCACCUCUACUUGCUCAACUUGGCAUCUCUUGAAGACUGAUCAGAAGGUCUUCCUUUGGAACGUACCGUGGGAUUUUGGAUAGGGUUAGAAAGAAAAGGUAUCAAAGUCUCAAAACAAUUCGAAUAUAUUUAAAACUACAACUUUCAGAAUAAGAUUCUUACAACAACCACAACUUCUGCCCUAGUUUCUUGCUUGGGAACUUUUGGAUUUUUAUUUCGAUGAGACCAAACCGUGAGGCUGCCUACGUAUCUUUUUAAAAAGGAAUCAGUUCAAACGUAGUUCAUACGGUUUCCUUACGUUUGCUGUUGUUUUUCUUCUCUUUCUUUUCUAUUUUUCUUUUUGUCCUUUUUUGCUUUUGUUUGUUUUUUUUUCUUUUAUUUUUUCCUCUUCUAUUCUCUCCUUUCUCUCUUCUUUUCUUGUUUUUCAUUUUGUUUUCGUUUUCAUUUGUUUUCAUCUUUUUCCCUUCCUUUAUUUUCAACUUUUCUUUUUCAUUUUCUCUUUUUUUUAUUGCCCUCUCCCGCCUUCUCACAUUUGCGCUUCUGACCGAUGUUACUGAUUCCGAAAGAGGGUAUGAAAAGAAAUAACUAAAUCUCAAAAGGGGUAGCAAAAGAUAAAGUGUUUAGAUAGCCGAAUAAAAUGCCUUCGGCAUUCCAAUUUUCAAAAUAUGCCAAGUACAAACAAAUAUCGAGUAUAGAUGAUGAUCUAAAAUCAUACAUAACAUCUUUUGACAGCGUCCGAAUUGAUAGCCAUUUCCGCACAUUUCCCUUCCACAUCUGUCAGACAUAAUGCUCCAUUGGACAGCACUCUAGAUACGAUGAAUGGCCCUUGCCAGUUUGGAGCAAACUUGCCUUUUGAUUCGGCCUGGUGAGGGUGGAUGUGACCUACUUCGAACCUUCUGGGGCACACUUUCUUAUUAUAUGCCAUGGCCAUUCUUUGUUAAUACAAUUGGUCGUGAGAGGCCGCCACCAAUAUUUUCUCAUCUACCAAAUUCAAUUGUUCCAAACAAGCUUUGACCCAUUCCUUGUCAUCGAUUCCUGCUUCGACCACGAUCCAAAGAGAGGGGAUUUCAAUCUCGACCGGGAUUACCGCUUCCUUGCCAUAUACCAAUAAGUGUGGAGUAGCCCCCACUGAAGUGUGGAUAGUGGUGCGAUAGCCUAACAAUGCAAAAAGGCAGUUUCUCAUGCCACUAUCUGGAUCCUUCCACCAUUUUACGAAGUAUCUUCUUUAUGUUCUUAUUGGCUGCCUCAACAACUCCAUUCGCCUUGGGGCGGUACGGGGUAGAAUUUCGAUGUGUGAUCUUGAAAUGCUAACAUACCUUCCUCAUUUGGUGACUGUUGAGGUUUGCCCCAUUAUCAGUGAUGAGCGUCUUGGUGAUCCUGAACUGACAAAUAAUGUUUCUGUGCACAAAAUCGACCACGACCUUCUUGGUCACUGCCUUGAAGGUUUUGUUUUCAACCCAUUUGGUGAAAUAGUCAAUAGCAACCAGGAUAAAUCUGUGUUCUUUAGCAGCUGCUGGUUCAAUGGGCCCGAUGACAUCCAUUCCCCAAGCAACGAAAGGACAUGGUGCCGAAUUCAUAUGCAAUUCAGAUGGAGGAGAGUGAAUUAGGUCCCCGCGUACUUGACAGUGGUGGCAUUUGCACAUAAAGCUGAUACAAUCACGCUCCACGGUACGCUAAUAAUAUCCUGCCCGAAGAAUCUUCUUUGCCAAAACAUAUCCGCUCAUGUGUGGCCCGGAGACGCCAGCAUGCACCUCAUUCAUGAUGGUCGUCGCCUGCUUAGCAUCUAUGCAUCUUAGCAAACCAAGAUCUGGCGUUCUUUUGUAUAAUAUUCCUCCACUGAAGAAAAACCGGCUUGACAAAUGACGGAUUGUUCUCUUCUGGUUACUCGUGGCUUGUACUGGGUACACACCUCUCUUGAUAUAUUCCUCGAUGUCGCAGAACCAAGGCUCGCCGUCAAUCUCCUCUUCCACCAUGUUGCAAUAAGCAUGUUGAUCAUGGACCCGGUAUGUAUCGGUUCAACAUAAGCCAUGUAUGGAUGAUGUAACAUUGACGCCAAAGUAGCCAGGGCAUCGGCAAACUCGUUGUGAAUUCAGGGGAUGUGCCUAAACUCUAUUGACCGGAAUCAUUGACAGAGAUCAUGCAAGCAUUGCCGGUAUGGUAUGAGUUUUAAAUCUUUUUUCUCCCACUCCCAUUGAAUCUGGUGUACCAGAAGGUGCGAGUCUCCCAAGACCAAGACUUCCAGGACACCCAUGUCCGCUGCUAAUCUCAAACCCAAAAUGCAUGCCUCAUAUUCAGCCAUGUUGUUAGUGCAAUAGAAGAGGAGUUGAGCUGUGACUGGGUAAUGAUGCCCUUCUUCAGAAAUGAGCACCGCUCCUAUCCCAAUGCCUUUCAUGUUGGCGGCCCUAUCGAAGAACAGUUUCCAUCCCGACUUCAUAUCCCAUUCCAUUUCAUUGAUAUGCAUCACUUUCUUGUCCGGGAAAUAUGUGUUCAAGGGCUCAUAUUCUUCCUCUAUGGGAUUCUCUGCUAAAUUGCCCGCCAAUGCUUGUGCCUUCAUAGCAGUCCUGGUCACGUAGACAAUGUCGAACUCAGUGAGCAAGAUUUUCCAUUUUGCGAGCCUCCCGGUAGGCAUGGGCUUCUGGAAAAUGUAUUUCAAUGGGUCCAGUCGUGAGAUGAGAUAAGUGGUGUAUGAUGACAAGAAAUGCUUCAAAUUUUGGGCCACACACGUUAAGACACAACAUGUCCUUUCAAGAUGAGUACACUUAACCUCGUAUGCUGUGAAUUUCAUGCUGAGGUAGUAUAUGGCCUACUCUUUUCUCCCGGUAACAUUGUGCUGACCCAACACGCACCUAAAUGAAUUGUCCAAGACUGUCAAAUAUAAGAUUAAGGGCCUUCCUUCCUCCGGCGGGACCAAUACUGGUGGGUUUGACAAAUAUUCCUUUAUCUUAUCAAAAGCUUCCUGGCACUCUCCCGUCCAUUUUACCGCAACGUCCUUCUUCAAUAGCUUAAAGAUGGGCUCGCAGAUGGUUGUGAGCUGGGCGAUGAAUCGACUGACAUUACUUUUAUUUUAUUCCUGGCCGGCGACAACUCCUGUAUUGCUUUGAUUUUUGAUGGAUCUAGUUCAAUGCCUCGGCGGCUAACUAUGAACCCUAGCAACUUUCCCGUGGGGACCCCAAAUGCACAUUUUGCUGGGUUGAGUUUGAGGUCAUACUUGCGGAGCCUCUGGAAGAAUUUUCUCAGGCCUCAGACAUGAUCAGAUUGCUUCCUGGACUUGAUUAUUACAGCAUCCACAUAGACCUCAAUUUCCUUAUGUAUCAUAUCAUAGAAAAUGGUUGUCAUAGCCCUUAUGUAUGUGGCGGCAUUUUUCAAACCAAAAGGCAUGACUCUAUUACAGUACGUUCCCCACGGUGUAAUGAACGUUGUUUUCUCCGCAUCUUCUUCGUCCAUUAAAAUCUGGUGGUACCCGGCGUAACAAUCCACGAACGACCCGAUUUUAUGUUUCACGCAAUUGUCAAUUAAUAUGUGGAUGUUCGGUAGAGGAAAGUUGUCCUUUGGACUUGCUUUGUUGAGGUCAUAGUAAUCGACAUACACCUUAGUUUUACCGUCCUUCUUUGGCACAUGCACUACAUUAUCUAGCCAAGUGGGAUAUCGUGUGACUCGGAUGACAUUUUCCUCGAACUGCUUGGUCACUUCCUCUUUAAUUUUCACACUCACAUCAGUUUUGAAUUUCCUCAACUUUUGCUUAACAGGCAGGCAAGCUGGUCAAUAGGUAACUUAUGGACUACCAAAUCAGUGCUCAAUCCGGGCAUGUCAUUGUAGGACCAUGCAAAGACAUCUUUGUACUCAAUCAACACUUCAAUUAUUGCUUCCCUAAGUUGUAGCUCCAAAUGGACACUUAUUUUUGUUUCUCUGAUAUUAUCCAGACUUCCUAGAUUGACUGCCUCUGUAUCAUUCAGGUUUGGUUUGGGUUUCUCUUCGAAUUGGGCCAUCUCUGUACUAAUCUCAUCCCAUGCCCCUCCUCAUCAUACCAUGGUUCAUCUUCAUGUUCUAUCUCAUGAAUUAUUAUUUCUGAAUUAGACUUGUUUUGAAGACUGGGCCGAGGAGUCCUUAUGCAUGUCAGAUCACUGGAACCAGCAUAAAAAUAACUGUACAAAAGAGAAAAGAAAGAAAAGUAAAGAGAAAUGGGAACUAUUAGUUAUGCUGAAAGGGAAAUUGCAUUUCAUUUGAAUCGAAGAUAACAUAGUUUACACAUCCAAACGGACGGAAAUAACAAUUGAAUUGACAACUUUGACGCUAAUACAAACUAGACUGAAAGGAAAAUCAAAGCUGACUACCCUCAGAGUGGGAAGAGGAGUGGCUUCCCAGUUAUUAACUUUUGCGCAUGCUCCCAAAAACUGCACGUCUGCCCUACUUAAUCCUUCUCCUGCCUUGACCAUAUUCACCUCUUCGAAAAGUAUUUCCAAUCCUUUAUCAAGAUCUCCGUCCGCGUCGAUCAGCAGGUCAAAAAUCUUUGGUCCGGGGCCAUUGCUAGUACUAGAUUUGACAAAUGAUUUAGACAACUUUGGGAUGAGUUUUGGGAGAACCCAGGCCUUCUGUUUCAGCUUCCUGUCUCGUCUUAUGUCUGCGGCUGUGGGCUUGAACCCUAGGCCAAAAGUGUCUAGAUUCUUGGAAAAGGACACUGAUUGCACAAUGCAUUGCAAAGAAGCCUCCAAUCCCUUGCUGGGCUGGAAACCAUUUUUCAACAUUUCUGAUGUCACCAUGACGGAUGCAGUUGCUAUCUUUGGGGUCAUGACAACUUCACCUUCUGGGAUUUUCUGCACUGACACCGUAUCAAACACCUUGUAGACCCAUGGCCCUUUGCUGUCCUCAAAUUCAAUGAAAGGUAUGAUCGCGUCACCUGAAGUACACUGAUUAUCUUCCCCAUGCACGACAAUCUCUUGCUUAUCCCGUUCAAAUUUGACCAUCUGAUGCAGUGUAGAUGGCACUGCUUUGGCUGCAUGAAUCCAGGGCCUGCCCAACAACAGAUGAUAAGAGACUAUUAUAUCCAGCACUUGGAAUUCCAUGGUGAACUCAACGGGCCCUAUAGUUACUUCCAACACUAUGUCCCCCACGGUGUCUUUGCCUCCGCCGUCGAAGCCUUGAACACAAAUGCUAUUCUUGCGGACCCUUUCAUUUUCCACCUUCAGCUUGGUCAAUGUGGAUAGUGGACAAAUGUUUGCACUGGACCCGUUGUCGACCAAAACUCGGGUGACCAAAGCAUCUUCACAUUUCAUAGUCAGAUAAAGAGCCCGACUGUGCUCAGUACCCUCCAUAGGCAAUUCAUCGUCAGAGAAUGUGACCCGGUUACCUUGAAUAUCUUGUUUGCAAUAUUUUCCAAAUGGUUCACCAUUAUCUUGUUUAGGACAUGGGCCUCAUUCAAAAUCUUCAACAACGCCCAACAAAGUUCAUCUGAGUGGAUUAGUAAGGAAACAAAGAAAUCUGGGCUGGUGUCUUCCUCAACGGUUCUAUGAUGGAGUAGUCCUGCAUUUUCAUUUCCAUCAAACAUUCUUCUUCCUCUUCUUCUGACACAACCUUCUUCACUGGUUCUGGGUUAUCUUUAGCAAUUCUUCCCUUCCUCAAUUCUUCUAGGGCAAAGUACCUUCUUGAUCGAGUUGAACCUUGUGCCUCACACACUUCUUCUCUCACUUCUUUCCCCUUGUACAUCACUAUUUCUUGUUCAUAUCUCCAAGGAAUGACUUUGCUACUUAUGAUUGGUGGCUGGAUCACUGGUUUCACAAUAACUCGCUCGAUGCGGACACCUUCCACAACCACGACUGGUUCUCUAGCUGCCCCAUGUACUGUUACUUUUGCCUAUUCCUGCUUUGGCGUAACCGCGCAUGCUGAGCUCCCCUGAACUAUGACAGUUUUAAUACCUCCUUUUGCCCCAGUUACUAGCUUCUCACUACUUGCAACCUCAGUUGGCUUACAUUCACUGGCUUUGAUCAUCAUUACUAUUUGGGGAGAGCCUUCUAGACUCUCCCAUUCUCUCAACAAUUUCAAUCAUGUUGGUUUCUUGGUGUGCUGGUAGCUGGUUUUGGUUAAUAUUGGGGGCCUCCAGAGUCUGCACCUCAAUCCUGUGUGAGCCAAUAAGUUCUUGAUAGCGUUCUUUAAAUGCCAACAUUUUUCGGUGUCAUGCCCAGGUGUACCAGAACAAUAUUCACAUCUGACUGAAUAAUCUAAAUUCUUCGGGGGAGGAUUUGGCAUUUUCUCUUCAAUUGGUCUCAACAUAUCCAAUUGUCGCAGCCUAUGGAAUAAGCCAGUGCAAGAUUCUCCCAGCGGAGUGAAAGUCUUCUUUUAGUAUACCCUCUCAUUUCUCAGGACAGGAUUGCCUCGGUAGGCAAGCCUCGGGGGUUGUUGGUAAGCUCUCGGAGGUGGUUAAUGAUAUUGUGGGGUUGGGUAAGUGUUUUGAGGGGAUGGCACACGCCAUUGUGCGUGAGCGGGAGGCUGGGCAUAUGUUUGCGCGUGAUGGACUGAGAAGCGAGGUUCUGGUGGCAGAUAGUAAUGUUGUGGCGGGCCAUAUGAUGCGUAUGGGUAUGUCUGGUGGUGAGGACGGGGCUGGGCGUAAUAAUAUGGUGCCCCAGGCCCGAACCAAGUUCCCGACUCCACUGUCGCUACUUCCUCCUUCUUCUUUUUCCCGAAAGCUCCCCCAGCUCCACCCUGGAUGGCUUGAGUAGUUGCCUUAAUUGCAGAGUUGCUUAUGAUUUUAUUGGAUUUGAGGCCUUCCUCAACCAUACUUCCCAUCUUGACCACUUCGUUGAAUGACUUCCCCACUACUGACACCAAAUUCCCAAAGUAGGCAGGUUCCAAAGCCGGUAGAAAAUAAUCAACCAUCUCACUCUUCGUCAUGGGAGGAUCAACUCUAGCCGCGUGUUCCCUCUACCGGAAACCAUACUCCCUGAAACUCUCGUUGUUUUUCUUCUCUAGCUUUGUCAGAGAUAGACGAUCUAGGAUAAUCUCGAGAUUAUAUUGAAAGUGGCAGGCAAAUGAUUGUGCCAAGUCAUCCCAGGUAUACCACCGAUUGGGAUACUGUCGAGUAUACUACUCCAGUGCCGACCUACUUAAACUUUGGCUAAAGUACGCCAUUAGAUGUUCAUCUUUUCCUCCUGCUCCCCUCAUUUUACUGUAAAACCCUCUCAAAUGCGCGACUGGAUCAUCGUGACCAUCAUAUACGUCAAGUUUAGGCAUCUUGAAACCUGGAGGCAACAGCACAUCCGGGAAUAAACAAAGAUCAUUUAAAGUCACGCUCACCUGGCCACCUAAUCGUCGCAUGUCCCUGAAGGAUUGUUCCAGAAUCCGAACCUUUCUAAGCAUUUCUUCAUGCUCGAAAAUUUUCGAUCGGUUUUUCGGCUGCCAUUGGGAUUUCAGGAUGGGGAGCAUAGGAGUAAGGUUCCUAGGUUUUGUAAGAAGGUUCCGGUGGAUAGUAUUGAGGGUCAUAAGCUUGAAGCAGGGGUUCACUUGACGACCUAUGCAGUGUAGGAAGCAGAGGUGCAACAUAUAUAGGAGCGAUCGGCGGUGCAGGGUGAGGAGUGACUUUGGGUAGUGGGGCUAGUGUUUGAGAGGUAGUACCCUGAUGCUGUGAAUAUAUAGGAAAACUUGGAGGCGAAUCGGUGGCGGACCGGUCAGGUGUUUGGGCCAGUGGCAGGAUGAAGGUUGGAUUGGCAGGAUAGGUCGGGGGCGGCUGUCCUCUUGCCCAGGCCUGGUACAUCUCAUCCAUUUGGUGCUUAAGCUUAUACAUUUCCUCCUUCAUAGCAUUAACGUCCAAUUCAUCUACCUCCUUCGACAGGUCAAUAAUGCUGACAUCGACUUCUUGAUUGGCCAUGACUUGUUUGCUUUUCGACCGCGUGUUGUAGGAGUGGGUUGCCAGAAUGUCGCGAGUACUAAUCACCUGUCUAAUUUGAAACUGGAACUAAGACACCAAAAACUCGUUAUUGGUUAGGUUCUAACACAUAAGCGACCACAUGUUCGGUAUGCAUGCACAUAAACGAGAGUCGAUCCCUACAUAGAACUAGAACACCAAAAACUCGUUAGUGGAUGGGUUCUAAUAAAUAAGCGGCCUCAUAUGGGAUAUGCAUGCACAUAACUGACAGUCGGUCCCUAUGUGCGUUGGUUGCUUGCGUCAUCCCGGCUUUUAUUUGCAAAGCUUUCUUUUGUUUUAGCCUUAUUCUCUCCCUCUGCCAUGUCUAUUCAGUUUCUUAUUCAAUUACGGUCGAAUCAUACGUAGAUUGCCUACGUAUCAUGUCCCCGCAUGAAUCAUACCGAGCGUAGUUCUUGCAAGUAAAAAGUGUAGCACAAAAUAUUUGGGAGAGUUUCCAUUUUCAUAGCAACAGACUUCAAUUACAAGGACUCGAAAGGUGACAGAUCAAAAAAGGAAUAAACAAGCUUGAUAAAAUGGCAUAUAGACUCGAACGACUACUAACUAUUCAUAAAAGAAUACAGUUUCCCGGUUAAACUAAUGGACUUUGAAAUUUUUUGACAAAAGGCAAAGCAAUAUUUGUAAAUACAUUAAUGCCUCAAGUGCUCCCUGGACUCGCGGUGCAUCACUCGGCCUUGCCGCUGGCUUGCGUGCUAGACUCCCUUGGAGGUGGUGGAGGUCUUCCAUCAGUUGUCGGACAAAAGUCAUGGCAGUGAAAAAGAACAUGGAUUUUGUCAUAUCCUCGCAAUGGUUGCACCUUGUGGUGAUGUAAUCCGCGAUCGCCCGUACUCUUUCCCUAAUAACACCCUUUUCUUGCAACAACCGCCCGAUUUGUUCAGCCCUCGCCUCAAAAGUUCACUCGGCUACCUGAUUCAGUUCCUGGAAUUGCCUCAAAUCCAUCUCCAACCUUUCUAUCUCUGCAUAAAAAUGUUCUCUCUCAGCCUUGAGGUCCCCGACUUGCUUGGCUACUCUGUUCUCAACCAUGAUGACCCUCCGUUUUAACCCAGCGACAUCAUUGUCAUGCUUUUCCUUUAAUCGAUCAAUGAUGCAACCUCGUUCCUCCGCACUUUUAACUAAUUAUUUCCGAACCCUGGAUAGCUCGCCUUCAGCCUUGUUAAAGUCAAAUCGCGUACUUGGGUAUCGGCUGUCAAAUAUUGACAUUCGCUCCAAAUUUGGCGCACGACGGCUUCAGGGAAUUAACCAUUGGGUCUAAUCUUAACUGAUGGCGGCUAAUAUCCUCGUCCUUGGAAAUCAUUUGGCAUCUACCUAACUACCUUAGCACUCUGUAUGGCAUGUAGGGUUGGAUUCUUCGGAGACCCAUUAGAAGGAAAUGAGGUCCGGUGGCUGGCAUAUACACAAUUUCAUCCACGGGGAGCCACCCGAAUGUCCACUCUAUCUGAUUUGCAGUGACAACCCGGAGAUGCGACACCCAAUCUGUGAUGCCCUGGGGCACCCUAAGCCCAUCAACCCUGUUGUAGAAUUCUUCUAUGCAACUCUUUGUUGGUGACCCAUAAUUCAUGAACCGAGGCCAAUGACAUAAGUGCUCAAUCAUCCAUAUUUGUAACAAUAGGUUACACCCCACAAAGAAGUCUUCUCCCACUUUACAGGCGGUGAGAGCACGGAAGAUCUUGGAUAAGAUCAUAGGAGUGAGGGUGCUCUUGGCAUGAGUCAUUAAAGUGCUGACGACCCAUGCUAUCCGUAUAUCAAUAUUUCCGUCCUUCUGCGAGAACACCAAAAGACCCAAGAAGAACACCAUGAAUGCAAAACAUCGAUGCUCCUCCCAUUUGAGUUGGUUCCCUUUGCUACAAAUAUAGUUGUCCGGGUUAUUGAAUCCCCCCUAUAUGCUCGUACCUCUAAUAUAUAAACUGCGGAGUACAGAAGCAGGUUGAUAGGUCCCCGUUGUGAACCUUCCUACUGAUUUUUAAGGAGUCCAGGAGCUUGUGCACGGCAAGGUCUCUUGGUGCAAUCAGGUAUUAGUGUCUAAAAGGAAUUGAAGGGGCCCCAAUAUAUCCAGUUAUUUCCUCCAAUGUCGGUAUGAGUUCAAAAUCCGAGAAGUGGAAGACAUUGUGAGCUGAGUCCCAGAACGUGAUCAAUGCCUUUAUGAUAUCUCCCCUUGGGUUAAUUUUCAGCAGCCCGGUAACUCCUCCCAAAUGCAUGUUGACCCUGUUUUGCCCUGCUUCCCCCAGGUCAUUCCACCACAUGUAUAGCUCCAGGGAAUUUUAUUCAUGAACAUCCUCCCUAAUGCGUGUUGACCCUGUUUUACCCUGCUUCCACCAGGUCAUUGCACCACAGAUGCAGCUCCAAGGGAAUUUUAUUCAUGAACGUUAUCGUGCUCAUUCUGCACAUUUAUUAAGGUGAAUUAGUACCUCAAAAUAUGACUAUUUGACUCCACAAAAUUUUAAAACCGGUAUUUGUCUUUUAUGAGAUUUAUUUCCUAAAAUCAGGGCUCAGCUUUGCGAAUACGUCCUUGCAGCACUUCCGAAGGAAGGUUUUAAGGCUGUGCUCGCUCGCCGACCAAAAUAACACUCAGAGGUGGCCAUUUGUGUGAAAUCACCCUUCCGGCGUCCCUUUCAGUAACAUUCGGCUAUUUCUGGCAGUAACGACAUCACCCGGUUUAUUUCUAAAAAUGAGUAAAAUCAGACAUUUGUUUUUCUUGUUUUGGUUAUUUUUGCAAAAGAGAGGUUGGAACCUAUGGGGUUGCCUACGUAUCUCGCUCCCGAUGAGAAUCAAACCGGCGUAGUUCGGGCAAAACAAUUUUAAAAGCCCCCAUUUUCCUUGUUUGUUUUUUCUUCUUUUUUCUUUUUUGAAAAUCCAACAGCAUUUCGACGCUAUUUGAGCAUUGGUUUUACAAUACAAAUGACUAAUCUCGACCAACCCUACUGCUACUAUUUUUCACAAUUUUCUUUCCUUAUUCGCAAGCCGGUCAACAUGCAAAUCCUAAGCAGUUAAAUGCACACAUAGUCAUGCAUCAGGAUGUCUUUUCAUUUUGGGUUACCUUUCCUAGACGGACCCAACCCCUGUGUUGAGUCCCCCUAAGUCAAAUGCAUGAUGCAGAUAAGCGUUCCUAGUAGGGAUCUGGCAUGAGGUCAAGUUAUUCUAAGUUAGAACCUUGGUAUAGGGUCUAGACUGUGUACCUGAGCGGAUGACUGGAGUCGAGGAGGGGGAUACGUACCGUGAACGAAAAUGCCAUACGGCUUAGUGUCUUGUCCGACCUCUUUCUUAUUUCAGGGUAUGACACUAACAGAAUAGGGAGUCUCAACCAGUAAGCACAUCCCCGGAGAUGAAGAGAGAAGGGUUUUGUAACAGGUUAUGCACAGUUCAAAUAAUAUCAAAGCGGUAAAAGCAUCAUUUUGAACAUUAAGUCAACAUGUACAAUCAAAUAAUAAACAAACCCAAAUACAAUAAUUAUUCUGAGCUCGAAUUCUUGAACCCUGAGCGAGAGAUUCUAGGUUCGUACCCCGGCAGAUUCUCCAGAGAUGUCACACCUCUCAUUGGCUAUCCACAACCCGACGAAGGGCGUAGAUAAGGGAGUUUUCCCAAUUAAAGGAAAAUCGAAAACUGAUUCAAUUAUUUAAGACAAUUUCAGAGUCGCCACUUGGGAGAUGUAUGGUGUCCCAAGUCACCACAUAGAAUCCCGAAUCGAGGAAAUAAUGACUUUGUUUAGUAGUCCACGAACCAGAAAUCCGAGUAAGGAAUUCGGUUAACCCAGGAGAAAGGGUUAGGCAUUUCCGGGUUCCGUGGUUUUAGCAGGGUCGCUCAACUAUUGUAUUUGGCUUAAAUAAUCUGAUUUUAUACAACUUUGAACCUAUGGGCUUUUUAAGUUUUUCAACCACCUUUAUGAUUAUUAUUUUAAUAAAAAAGAGGAUUGCAACGACGUAAAAACAUGCCUUGAACCACGUCACAUAAAUGCACCCGUAGUUUUUAACACAUUUCAACUUCCUUGGGAUUCGGAUUUGGGUUACAUAAAUGUGCAUCCGUGUGUAAGGAGAUUAAAUUAUUAAGGACGUGUCCUGAAGCGACUAGCGCAUGAUUAUCUUUGCGGGGACAUCGUGAAAUUUGCUAAAUGGUAUAUCCCAAAUUUUCUAAGUAUUUUAGCAUUCAUUAUUUUUAAAAGGCCAGCCAUAGCAUUGACUAUUGCUUAUAAAAGGUUCCUAAUUCAUUAGUAUUGUCAAUACAUCAUUACUGAAGUUUGUCAAAAUCGAGCUACGAGUUCAAAGGUUCUGCUCAGGUAGCCUCAACGCUAAUGAAAGGCUGUCCAAACAUGGGCCUCCGCUCAAGCCCACUUGAAAGGGAAAUCCCGGACUAGGACUAAACCAUACACCAACAGAGGCUGGGCCCAAACCGGUUCAACUCUAAUUCAUUAACAGACUCAAGCAGUUAUAGAUUUGUUAUUUAACAAUAAACCCAUCGACGCAAGGCUAUAAAUCUAUUGGCUCCAAAUCCUUAGGUUAGAAUCACGUUAAUGCUAAAUGAGUCUCUUCAAAACAUGAAAAGAGAUUAAAACUAAACUACAACAAUCAGAACUUAAGAAUAGGACUUCAUAAACGGAGCUAAAACUACCAAUUCACUAGAUUAUAGAAAGAGUCACUACUGAAUCUGAAGUUUGAAUUUUAAUUCUUAAUACCAAGAGAUACUUGGUUUUACCACGGCGUGAACACAUAAUUUCACGUUUCAAACAUCAUUUCCAACCAUCAUCGACUCUAUCCUAAACUUCAAAUCCAUAGAAGAAUCACAGAAACUGAAAUUACUGGAACUACAGUCAACGAAUAGUUUUCUACAGUCCAAAUUGAUACAAACAUGAAUUAUUUAAAUGAGUAUCAUGGUUGAAUGCCAAAAUUAAGCAACCCUUGUAAGAUUUCAUGCAAAAAAUAGCCAGCUCUUUAUUCACUUGAUCCAAAUAUUGCUCAUACAUGUAGACUCAGCUUUCCACAUCACCUAGGUCAAAAGAAAAGUACGCAACCAUUUUAAGAUUUCAUGCAAAAAUAGACAGCUCUUUAUUCACUUGAUCCAAAUAUUGCUCAUGCAUGUGGACUCAGCUUUCCACAUCACUUGAGUCAAAAGAAAAGUACCUGGAGAUUGCGAAUAAGAAGGAAAAGGUAAGAUUAAUAGCAGCAGAUGGCAAACAGCAGAUCACAGCCACAAUAGAGCCAUUUUAACCCAAUACAGCACAAAAAUAAGCAAGUAUGAGCCUAGUAAACGACACAAUCAGCAAACAACCAGCUCAAACCAAAUGGUGCAACACAAACCCUAGGACUCAACUUGUAGCAAUUCUUAAACCUCAAAUUGAUUCAUAUCAAUAUCAAAUAAACUAGAUGGUAUAUCAGAAUGAGAAGCUAUUAGAAAUCAAUAAAUAAAUCUAUGAAAUAGUAGAAAUUUGGCUGGCUGUGUAUAUUUUGAAUUCGAGCAAUCCAGCCCCCUUGCCUUGAAAGGCAAGAAUAGAUGUCUUUAUAGGCAAGGGCAAGUAGGGCAACCCUUAUACUUAUUUUUGCAGUUUAGUCCUUUUGUUUUUAACUUCUGGACCAAGUUUUAUUACAAAAACCUGAAAAACCAAUUUAAACCCCCACACUAGAAACCUCUGGAGACUCCAAUUCCGUUACUAGGAUAUUCUUUAACUUACACUACCCAAGUUACCAUCAAUAGCCCUGUUAUUUACCUCUGAACCUUACAGGGAUUAUGGGUCAGGUUCAAAAGGAAGCUCUAUUUCAAAUUAGGUCCAGGACUACAGCCCAAUUCACAAACCUUCAAUCACUAAUCACUUGAAUAUUGAAGCUCGGACGAAUAAGGCUGCCUGGGCCAACAACUAGAAAAGAAAACAAGAGAGGCAAGAAAUUGAGCCCAAAGGAUUACACUGAUCCCAAAAUAAUUCGAUUACUCUAGCAUCAUUCAUGAAUUAAGCAAACAAUUUAAACAAGACACCUGGACGGAUUGCUUAACGAUUCUGAACAUUCGGAUUAUGCAAACAAAAGACAUGAUUUUAUUUUUUCAUAGGAAUUAAUUUCAAGAACAACAAACAUGCUAAAACUAACUACUGAGCAAUCAUAAUUAAACACAUGAAAAGAAAAACAAAGAAGAAAGAAAAAGAAACCAAGGGAGAAACAGGAAGAGGAAAAUACCUCCUGAAAUUGCUAGAAAAUCAUCCAACCCUUGCAAGACUCGAAACAGGCAUUAGUCGUAUGUUCUUGGUGAAAACAAAGGGUCAAUAACCAUUUUAGAUCCUAUAUUUAAUAUCUUGACAUGCAUGUUUCUACUUAGGUUUCAGAUUCAAAGAGGAGUUGAUAUGGUGAGGAUAUAUGGCGAAAUAGGGAUAUAUUGAUGUUGAGGGACGGGUAGUGGUUGUACCGAAGGUAUUCAUGGUUAAAUGGAGGCGGCGCCGCCACUAGAGACCAAGGGCUGCAGCUUGGGUUCAUAAGUUCAAGUGAAGAUUCGAAGUGUUUGGGUGUGUUUUGAGGAAACUAAAGUUGGAUUUGGAGAAGGGGAAGGAGGAGAGGCUAUGGUGUUAUUCUGGGAGCCAUCGGAGUAGUUCGAGUUAUCGCCGCCGCAGCGUUGACGGAGAAAGUUAGGGCAGCGGGUCUCUAGGGUUUGGUAGGGCUAGAGAUGGAAUGGGGUCUGGAGGGGGUGGGUAUGGUUCGGGCAUAUUUACACUGAUGAAACCCAACUUCUCGGCUGUUAGAUCGAGCAACAUAGAUGGCUAGGAUUAAUCAGAUCCAAACGGCGUCGUUUCGUUACAAGGGGGUUGACCGGGUUUGCUGAGGCGGGUUGGGCUAAUUGAAACGGGUUGUGGGGUGUUUGGGCCAGACUUGAGUGGGAUUGGGCUGAACAAUGGCCCGAAAAUUGGGUAUUUAACAAGACUAACACAUUUUUUUUAUAAGUCUUCUCAUAUUAUUUCUUUUCUUUUCUUUUCUUCUUUUUGUUAUUAAUAUUUUUAUUUUUAUUAAAUGCAAAAUUAAAAAAAUAAAAACCCAAAUUGACUCUAAAAUUAUACUACUUAAUUUCCAAAUACACUAAUUCCUAAUUUAAAUGCAACCUAAGACAAAUUAAAAGUAUAAAUGCAAAAGAAUCAUUUUUGCUAUUUUCUUCUUUGUAAAGUACCUUAAUUACUAAUUAAUCCUAAAAUAUGAAAUUAAACCCUGAAUGCAGAUGCCAAGUAUAUUUUUUAUUAAUUAAUCACUUUUGUUAUUUUCUUUUUUGUAAAGUAACUUAAUUACUGUUUAGUCCUAAAAUGUGAAGUUAAACCCUAAAUGCAAAUGCCAAGUAUAUUUUUUUAUAUUUUUAAUUAAUUAAAAUGCACAAACAAAAUGCAAACAAUUAACAUAAAAUGUCAUAAAAAUCCACCAAAUUGCAAAUUAUUGAACGAAAUCAUUUUGUUUGAAUUUCUAGGAGUAAUUCAUAUAGGGAAAAAAUCACGUGCUCACACCACCAGCC
rnacentral:lncRNA from 1 species